rnacentral:lncRNA from 1 species
AUAUAAUUACGGGUGGAACCGACACCACAACUACGAUGGUGGAAUGGACAAUGGCAGAGUUGAUGCAGCAUCCACAAGUAAUGAAGAAAGUUCAGGAAGAAUUAGCUCAAGUUGUGGGCAUGGACAGUUGUGUUGAAGAAUUUCAUUUGCCUAAACUGAAAUAUUUAGAUGCUGUGGUGAAAGAAUCGUUUCGUCUGCAUCCUGCAGUGCCUUUAUUAGUACCACGCAGAGCAAGCGAGAGUGGCAGCAUUGGUGGCUAUACCAUUCCCAAAGAUACAACUCUUAUGUUGAAUGUUUGGGCUAUCCACAGGGACCCUCAACUUUGGGAUAAUCCCUUAGAAUUUCGACCCGAGAGGUUUCUGAAUGUUGGUGUCGAGAGUAAGUUCGAUUACUCAGGUAACAAUUUUCAGUACUUACCUUUUGGUUCUGGUAGAAGAAUGUGUGCUGGGAUUCCUCUAGCUGAGAGGAUGCUGAUGUUUGUUUUGGCUUCGUUAUUGCACUCAUUUGAGUGGGAAUUGCCAGCUGGCACAAAGCUAAAUUUAUCUGAAAAAUUUGGGUUUGUCAUUAAGAAAAAAGAGCCUUUGGUUGCUAUUCCAACACCAAGACUAUCCAAUUCAGAGCUUUACCAUUAAAACAGAAUGAUUGUGAUGAUUUUGUUAGUAUCGGAAGAUUUGUAUGUUAUUUCAAGUUCAAUCGUAAUAAAAUAUUUUAAUAAAAGUCCUCCGUUGCUAAUUUUUUUUUUCAACGGCAUAAUCUGUCAUCAUGCUUGUGUUUGGAGCUACUUUGGAAUGAUUAUUUUUGAAUUACAAUUUAUAAAUAUUUAGGUUUUAAAUUUUUUAUAAGAGUCUAAAUUUAUACACGUUCAGUAAAAGAUUCCCUAAAAGCUUUACAAUUCAAAAUUCUAUUAAAAGUAUAGAUGAAACUUUUAUACCUACUAAUUUUUUGGUCUAUUCUACAAGUUUAAAGAGGAGAUAUUUCUAGAGCUAGCAAAAAGAGCUACCUGAUUGUUUUCGCGUUAUGUCAAUUUUUUUAUUGUGUUAAAUUUAAUUUGACCCACAUAUGACCCAUUUAAUAAUCGUGUCAAAAUAUUGAAACUUGAACUUGAUACGGAAAAUAAAUGGAUGACCACACACACCCAUUUAAGAAUUAGGUAACUAUGUCACUUAAUACGACAUAACCCAAUAACUCGUUUAAUACAUAUUUAACAUAAUUUACAUUGUACAUUGUACACCCUUUUGUCAUAAAUUACACUAUUUUAUAUUUCUAAAUAAUAUUAUAUAUUGAUAUUAUAAAAAAAUAUCAAUAAUCUCAAAAUUUGUACACCUCCUAACUUUUAAAAAGAAAUAAAAAAACUAAUUAAUUAAUGUUUAUUUUAUUCAUUAAUAUAUCAUAAUCCUACAUGUAUUUUAUUUGUUAUUUUUUUUAUUUAAAAAGAUAGGAGGGUGGAUGAAACUCAAAUAAAUUUUUAGCCUAUCCUGAUCUUUCAAGUUUCUUAUUUAGGAGGCCAGUUAAAAAAAAUUACUUAGAAAGCUACUCCAUCAAUUUAACAAAUUUUAUUUAUUUAAUUAAUGGAGGUGUAGAAAAUAAAAGUAUCUGCAAGCACAUUGCAAUAGUGAAAGCAAUGUACCGGUGUUGCAACAUAACUGAAUCUUGAUAACCUAUCACAUAUUUUAAGUUUUAAUAUUGGUAGUUCACGGAUCGGUUUCUACUUCCACGAACAAUUAUUGAAGGAAAUGAGUUUUUUUUUUAAUGAAUAUUUAUAGACCCCGAUUAAAUAUUCGAAUAUAUAAUAAAAGAGAAACUGACAUAGAAAUGAGAAAGAUAUUUGGAGGAGGCCAAAAAAAAAAAAAAAAAUGCAACAGAGAAUUAGAUCAGCAACACAAGUAACUAAUUAAUUCAUCUAUACAUCAUAAUCCUAUUUGUAUCUUCUUCCUUCUACUAAUUUACAUAUAAAUUUGGUUAGAUAAAACAUAUUUUAAUACUCGGUCACAAGCGGUGGAUAUAGAAAAUUAAUUUAGAGGGGGUAAUACCAUAACGAAAAAUAAUGAUUCAUAACUAAAAUCAACCCCAACAUCAAAACUUAUUUACAAGAUUACGCCCAGUCAAAGGUAAUUUUUCCUAAAAACUAAUACGAAAUUAAAUAAAUUUAACUUUUAGUGGGUUCAAGUGCCCACGCAUUCUGAACGUAGAUCCACCCCUGGCCCCGACUGAAGCAUUUUUUACAAUAUGUACUCAGUUUAUCAACAGGAACAACCUUCCACUUUAAAUUAAAAUUUUCACUUAAAAAUGAUUAAUGUUAAUGAGGUUAGCAACAAAAAUGAGUUUAAUUAGAGAAUAUUAUAAGAGAAAUUAUAUUUUUUGACUUUUAAUAAAUUAAAAUAUUAUUAGUUGGUGGUGGUUUCACGUCAGAUUAAGACGUGACACUUUACUUAUGAGGUCGAGACAAUCGACUUAAACUAUUUCAAUGCAUUUGAAAUUUGCACUAAUGGCUAUCAUUCUUUGUCCAAAUUAAUACGAUAAUUAAUAACAUACAAUUGAAAUAAUUAAUACUAGCACUUGGCAAUAAAUAAAGCUCUUGUGCUUGAAUCGUCACACAUGAUCACUUCAUUCCUUUAUUUACUUUGCUACCACAAAUUUUGAGGCAUUAUAACUAAAUAAUAAUUGAAUAGGGCUUUGUGUUACUUGUUGUGCGCGCGGAAUGCGGAAUCAAGCACACCAAAUUAUUACAGAAAAAUAAAGGACACAAUUAUUUGACGUGGUUCGGUAAUUAAACUUACAUCCACGGAGGCAAGAAAGAAUAAUUGUUUAUUUAACAAUUAAUAGAGUACAAAUAUUUGAGUAACGAAUCUCACUUCUCAGAAACCUAAAUAUACCCAAUACUCUCACACUCUGCAGGAAAGAUAAAUUAUCCAAACACACUUCUCUCACUUCUCUAAAAAACUUAAAAAUUUAAAAACUUAACAAUUUUGGAAUGCUUUAGAAUAGAAGAAGUGCCAUCUUAUAGGAAAAAUAAUGAUACUAUUGCACCAACCUCUUUACUAUUCCACCUAACAUAAGCAAAUUGUCAAUAGUGUCCAUUUAACUUUUUAUUUUUUUUCUUCAAUUGUUUAGUAGCCCUUUAAAAAUCUGCGUGGUUUCUUGAAAUUUAGAUGCCACAUGCAUGACUUUUCAACACUAAUUACUACGAUAAUUAAUAUUAGCACUUGGCAAUAAAUAAAGCUCUUGUGCUUGAAUCGUCACACACGAUCACUUCAUUCCUUUAUUUGCUUUGCUACCACAGAUUUUGAGGCAUUAAAACUAAAUAAUAAUUGAAUAUGGCUUUGUGCGUCGAUGACGCCAGCAACAAGGGGACCACAAUUAUCACUUUUUAAGUUGCUUUUAAAAUUGAUUUUAAUAGUGAUUUGAUUAUUGUAGUGUUUUUAUUUUUAUAUUAAAAUUAAGUCGAUUUGUUAUAAUAAACUUAGUUGAGUUUAAUGGUAUUACUACAUAAAUUGAAUAGUCAUCAAAUAUUUUAAUGUUUUUAUGGCAAGUGUUGACGUGGCAUUUAUUUGUUGUAUGAUGGAUUUUAAAAUUUAUAAAAUUAUUUGUUAUUAAAUUACCCCCAGAUGCUGCAUCACCUGAAACUUAAUAAAGGGCAUGUAGCAUUGCCAUUACUCAACAUUCACUCUUAUGACUUUAUGACAUUAGAAUUAAAAUCUUUCGUACAUUUAAUUUGUUUGCUUCCAGAUUAAUCUUUAAAAAUAUUUUUUUCACAUUAUCAUGAAUGGACAAAACUCCAACGAAAAUAACUACGCAAGAGCAAUCUAUGCUAGUAUUAUAUGCCACGAUAUCUAUAACUUUGUCAGGUCUCAGGAUCGAUCAUUCUAAUUUUUACGCAGAACUUUUAAUCAAUGGACAAACACCUCACCGAGCUUGUCGGCAGCAUUACUACGAUGUAAAAUUGUACCGGAAUAUCUUGAAGUAUUAGUAGAAUAAUGAAGACUAUUUGGAGCAAUAAAAACAAAUAACGCAGAUAAAAAAAAUGGCUAAAAUUAUGUAAGUGAGCCCCAAAGUUUUUGCUAUUUCCAGGAAAUCCCAAAUUUGAAUGGACUAGAGGGAGGCACGUAAGAAAUACAUUUUCUUCCUAGACAAUGACAGCUAUGACAUCAAGCCACGUAUUGAAAUUAAGGUGUAAUUAUUCAGCCAAUGAGCCUUACACACCAAGAUGUAUAAAAGUCAAGAAAAUGAAAUUUUAUCCCAAUUAAAACACUUUCUGGCUGCAAUUGGCUGUUUCCAUUUGAAGUUAAAAAACAACAACGUUUCUUUCGUUUUGUGGGCGAUUCGAUUGAGCACGCGCCACGAGCUAGCUGGCUUCCAGUGCUUGCGUGUGACAAUAGAAGGCUAGUGAUUUCACUUUCGCUUUUUUUUUUUUUUCUUUUUUUUGGGGAAUCAAGAUAAAAGCCAAGAAAAUGAAAAUUGGGCUGUUUCCAUUUGAAGUUAAAAACAGUGUUUCUUUCGGGGCGUCAAUUUGAUAUUUGAAUGGACAGGCAAGUAAGAAAUACAAUUCCUUCAUAGACAAUGACAACGAGGACAUCAAGGCACAUCAUUAUAGUUUGUAGCCCAUCUACAUUUAAACGAUUAAUAAACAAGCUUAGGUGUGCCACUGCUAUUAUUAAUUAUCCCCUGAUCAUUAUAGUUUCUGAAACAGUAAAACAAAACGAAAUUGAAUACAUCAACGAGAUCGCAAUUAUCACUUGUUUAGUUGCGGUAUUUAACUUAAUUUUAAUCUAAUAUAUUUGUUAGUUAAACUUUUAAUAAUCAAAUAAUUUUGACUUAAAAAUAAAAUUAUAGAAAUUAUUAAUUAUUAAAAAUUCACACAUAGCUAUUGUUUUCUCUAUAUAUUGCAGUGUGUACGAUAUUGAGGGUUGAAGCCCAAAGCAUGCCCUAAAAUCCAGAUAAUAAUUAGAUCCGGGCCAAAUAUUCAUCAUUGUGUCGGCUGAUCAGUCGGUGGACAUCUCUAUUGAAAAAAUCUCUGACAUUUCUCUCGACAAACUUAUUACUAAAAAAAAAUCAGUGGUUUUGCCGUCUGAAUAAUGUAGAAAAAUUUGUCUGUGCAUUAAUCUAGAUGUUUGAGGUGAUUUAUACAUCUGUGAUAAAGAUUUAUAGGUUGACUUAUACGUCUGUGGUAUAGAUUUUAUGUAUUUCAUUACAAAAUGCUGGCCGUUAGAACCCUUUCUACAUCUAUUUAUAAGAUUAACGGGUGCCAGUUAUGCCAUUACAAAUUAUCCCCUCAUCAGAUAUUUCGUUAAAAUUCAUUCUGAAACACUAAAACUAAAUAAUCGAACAUGGCUUUGCGGGUCGAUGAUGCCAGAAGCAAUUCGACUGCAAUUAUCACUUGUUUAGUUUCUGUGCUUGCCGUGGUUUACUUGGCAUGGAAUGUGAAAAAAUCAAGGAAAGCAAAUGCUAAACUGCCACCAGGACCUCCCGGCUUGCCUGUAGUCGGAUACCUCCCAUUUCUCGGAACUACUGACUUGCACAAGAAAUUCACGGAAUUAUCCGGAGUUUACGGUCCGAUCUUCAAGCUCUGGCUCGGAAAUAAAUUAUGUGUAGUGGUGAGCUCACCUUCCCUAAUUAGACAAGUGGUUCGUGAUCAAGAUACAACAUUCGCGAACCGUGACCCACCGAAGGCUGCACUAGUGGUCUCCUAUGGUGGCAAUGAUAUUGCAUGGUCCAAUUACGGUCCCGAAUGGAGAAAGUUGCGCAAAUUUUUUGUGGGCAAGAUGAUGAGUAACGCAAGCCUUGAUGCUUGUUAUGCUCUAAGAAAACAAGAGGUUAAAAAUACUAUCAGGGAUUUGUAUAACAACGACAACAAAAUUGGCAAGCCCAUUGACAUUGGUGAAUUGUCGUUUUCAACAUUGGUAUGUGCUAUACAGAACAUGCUGUGGGGUGAAGCGCUUGAAAUAAGAGAGAAAGGGACCACUAAUCUUGGGGCUGGGCUAAAAUUUAAGCUGGCAGAACUCAUGGUGCUUGCGGGAACACCGAAUAUUUCGGAUGUCUUUCCAAUGCUUUCAUGGCUUGACAUACAAGGUAUAGAGAGGAGAGCAAAGAAGAUUUCACUCUGGCUUGAAAAUGUUAUAAAUUCUACUGUUGAACAGCAUAGAAACAAGGAGUCAACUGUUGAAGGUGAAGAAAGAGCGGGGAAAAAUUUUGAAGGAUCAAGGAACAAGAACUUCUUGCAGUUACUAUUGGAGCUUCAAGAAAAUGAUGACAGUGCUUCCUCAAUUAGCAUGAACCAAUUCAAGGCCGUACUCAUGGUAUGUUAAGUAACUAGCAACGAACAGUUAUACAAGCACAGUUGUAUAUUUGCAUGAGUGAUAUUUUCAACCUUUUUUUUUAAUUAGAAUUUUAUUGUCACCUUUUGGACAGGAUAUAAUUACGGCUGGAACCGACACCACAGCUACGAUGGUGGAAUGGACAAUGGCAGAGUUGAUGCAGCAUCCACAAGUAAUGAAGAACGUUCAGGAAGAAUUAGCUCAAGUUGUGGGCAUGGACAGUUGUGUUGAAGAAUUUCACCUGUCUAGAUUAAAGUAUUUAGAUGCUGUGGUGAAGGAAACAUUUCGUCUGCAUCCUGCAGUGCCUUUAUUAGUACCACGCAGAGCAAGCGAGAGUGGCAGCAUUGGUGGCUAUACCAUUCCCAAAGAUACAACUCUUAUGUUGAAUGUUUGGGCUAUCCACAGGGACCCUCACCUUUGGGAUAAUCCCUUAGAAUUUCGACCCGAGAGGUUUCUGAAUGUUGGUGUCGAGAGUAAGUUCGAUUACUCAGGUAACAAUUUUCAGUACUUGCCAUUUGGUUCUGGUAGAAGAAUGUGUGCUGGGAUUCCUCUAGCUGAGAGGAUGCUGAUGUUUGUUUUGGCUUCGUUAUUGCACUCAUUUGAGUGGGAAUUGCCAGCUGGCACAAAGCUAAACUUAUCUGAAAAAUUUGGGAUUGUCAUUAAGAAAAAAGAGCCUUUGGUUGCUAUUCCAACACCAAGACUAUCCAAUUCAGAGCUCUACCAUUAAGACAAAAUGGUUGUGAUGAUUUUGUUAAUUUUCCGAAGAUUUGUAUGUUAUUUAGUUCAAUCGUAAUAAAAUAUUUCAAAUAAGAGUCCUCCGUUGCUUUUUUUUUUUUUUUUUUUUCAACGGCAUAAUCUGUCGUCAUGCUUGUAUUUGGAGCUACUUUGGAAUAAUUAUGUUUGAAUUACAAUUUAUAAAUAUUUACGUUUUAAAUUUUUUAUAAGAGUCUAAAUUUAUACACGUUUAAUAUCCCGCUUCAUAGAUAUUUAACACAAUUUAUAUCAUACAUUGUAUACCCAUUUGUCAUAAAUUAUACUAUUUUGUAUCUCUAAAUAAUAUUACGUAUUGAUAUUAUAAUAUAUAUAUAUAUGUUUAUCAAAAGACUAUACCAUUCAAUAUAUAUUGAAAAGAGAACAAAGAAGAUUUUCUUAUGGUUUAAAAAUAUUAUGAAUUCUGCUGUUGAACAGUAUGGAAACAAGGUCUCUGUUGUUAAAGGUGAAGAAGCAACAGGGAACAAUAUUGAAGGAAGAAAUUUCACAUGUUUAGUUGCUGAAUUUGCCGCUGUAUUCUAUCGGUAGUAGAGUUUUUAUUUUUCUCUAUUAAUUUAAGUCAAUUUUCUAUAACAAAUUCGGUUGAGUUUAAUUGUGUUAUAAUAUAAAUUGAAUGAUAAUAGAAUUUUCAACAAAUAUUUCAAUAUUUCUAUCUCGAUUGUUGAAGUGCCAUUUAUUUGUUAUGCGAUCGAUUUUAAAAUUUAUAAAAUUAUUUGUUACUAAAUUGCAUCAUAUGCUAAAAUCACCUGAAACCUAAUUCCAUAACUAACCCUUUAUUUUUAGUUCUCAAGAAAUCUUGUAAGAACAAAAAUCUUUUAUAACAAAACUUUUACAACACAUUAAUUUGUAACUCAUUCCUGUGCGCGAAUCACUCUCAAUUUCCUUCAAUUGCUGUUUAACAAUCAUCUACUUAUCAAAAUUCAAGCAUAAUCUUUUUUUUUUAAUUUCUUCAUCAUUCUUUAAAAAAAAAAUCAGGAUAUGCUGUUAAAUUUUGAAAUAAAUAAAUUAACCAAAGUUGGUUGAUGUGAGUGGUUCAAUGAUGAGCAUAAUUUAUAUACAUAUUUUACCUUUAAUUAUAUAAUUAUUAGUUAUUUUUAUUAGUUAUUUUUAAUUAAUUGAAUUAUUUUAUUGCAUAGAGAAUUAAUUGGAGAUUGGGAAACAAAAAGUGCAUAAAGAAUAACAAGUUUGGGAAAGCAUCAAUCAAAGCCGUGACGCAAUUAAGAGUUUAUAGCAUAUGAAGCCAAGAGUAAUUUGCACUCAAAAAGAAUUUCAAUUAUUCAAGUGACCUGGACCUGCAUGGCAUUGUAAUGCAUGGAAAGCAACUUAAAGGGGCCCACACUUGGCUUUUACAAUUGGAAAAAGGAAUCCUAGUGCAAGCUUAAUUGAUGAGCACGUGAGUGAGAGCAAAGAAAAUUAAAAGGCCAAGCCUUUUGGCUUAAGGAAAUAACAAGGUCGGUGGGGCCCAUUUUAAAGAGUAAUAUAAAAGCAAGCUUUUGGCUUUUGGAGAGAGGAGCCGCGAGAGGAGGAAAACGCAAGACAAAGAGAAGAAAAUCUGCAGCAGUUCGGCUUCUAUGGUUGGUUUUAUCUCUUUUGUUACUCUUAAUUCAAAUAUGUCUAGUUAAUUUUCUUAUAUUAAAGUUAAGGAUGAAACCCUAUUCAAUGAAAUAAUUAUCUUUUUAUUUAUUUAAUUCCCAUAUAUGUUCUUUAAUGAUUAUGAUUUUUAUUUCACAUGAUUAAUUGGAUGUUAUUAAAAUUUUUUCAUCAAUUCUGUCAUGCAUUAUUGAUUGUUAGGAUUAAUAUUCAAUUAAAUCUAUACUUAGAUUUAUAACGUUUAUACAUGAUUAUCUUUGAUUCUAUGUCUUUCAUUAAAUUGUUUACAUGGAGUGCUUAGGAAAACUUUGACUCUUUGUUAUUCAAUAUGUUCACAUGGGAUACUUAGAUGUCAUACUAUUAAGCGGAAAAAGAACCUAUAUUAGAUUUAAUUAUUUGGGCUUAAUUGUUAUAUCCAUGAGAUGACACAAAUUGAUUUCGAGUUGUCACUCUAAAAUUAGAGAUUAAUGAAUAUUUAGAUAAUUACUAGUUGAAUAGCGGUGGAUUCUGAAACCUUGGUAAUUUCUAUCUUAUUGAAUUCUCCUUUACUUUAAUUGUUUUCUUAGUUUAAUUAAUUUAAUUUCUUUUAAAACUCAAUUUGCUUAACUAGGUUAGAAUUAAUAUUAAUUUUAGAUUUAAAUUAGACUUUUCAAUUUAUAACAAUCCAUGUGGGAUCGACCUCGUUACCACUACUUUAUUUCUAGAUUCGUGCACUUGCGAGUAUAUUAAAAUUUUCACAACAAGUUUUUGGCGCCGUUGCCGGGGAUUGUGCCAGAAAGUCAGUUUAAUCUAGGUUGAUUUGAUUCUUCCACUAGUUAUAAUUUAUGUUGUCUUUUAUUUUAUUAUUAUUUUUAAUUAACAAAAACACACAAAAAAACUUUUAUUUUUCUUUAAAUUCAUUGUUUGGUUGUUUGAUUUCUUUUAUUUUUUAAAUUUUGUUUAUUCUCAUUAUUGUUGGUUUAUUUUAUUUUAUUUUUUUCUUUCCUUGUCUAGUUAGUUUAUGAGUGUUUGGGAAUGUGAUUCAACAAAUCGUUUGGUAAAAGAGAGUCAAAAAUUGAUAGUAGUCAAGUUAGUUCUUCUGAAGUCAUGGAUGACCCAAAUAGAUUAUUGCCAAUACUUCCACCAGUGCAAGCAGAGAAAACCCUUAGAGAAUAUUUUUCACCACUUGCAGCCAACCAACCAUCUUGUAUUGUGUUGCCACAAACUACAGCAACACACUUUGAACUUUUUGAACUUAAGCCCUCAGUCAUCCAACUUUUACCAUCUUUCCAUGGGUUAGAGAGAGAGGAUCCAUAUUUGCACAUUAAGGAAUUUCUUGACAUAUGCUCUACAUUCCGUUUUCAAAAUUUUAAUGAUGAGUUAAUCAGGCUUCGUAUGUUAUCUUUCUCAUUAAAAGACAAAGCAAAAGCUUGGUUGAAUUCGCUUUCUGCUGGGUCUAUAACUACGUGGGAUGAAUUGAAUAAUAAGUUCCUCACCAAGUUUUUCCCUAUGUCUAAAACAAAUGCCCUUAGGAGAGAGAUAAGUGAUUUCUAUUAAAGAGAGGGUGAGCAAUUUUAUGAGUGUUGGGAAAGAUUCAAUGAUUUACUCCUCAAGUGCCCCCACCAUGGUUUUGAGAAAUGGAGACUUAUACAAUGCUUUUAUAACGGUUUAACCAUGUCGAAUCGUCAUAUGGUAGAGUCUAUGAAUGGUGGGAGAUUUUUGAACCUACAUGAAGGGGCUGCAUGGGAUUUCUUUAAUUCACUUUCUGAGAAUUCUCAACAGUGAGAUUUUUCAAGCCAAAGGGAAAAAUCAUCUCAAGUUUCUAGAAAGGGGUUAUAUGAAGUUAAGGAUGAUUUUGAUGUGAAAUCCACUCUAAUUACACUUUCUAGAAAAGUAGAUGCCUUAGCUCUGAACCAAUCAAUGAAUCAUCAUCCUAGUGUAGCUAAUGAGGUUUGUGCUAUUUGUUCUAACUUGUCUCAAACAGCACAAAACUGUCCAUCAUUACCAGUCUAUCCAGAGGCUUAUUCUGAGCAGGUACAUGCCUUACAAUCAUAUGAGAAAACCUCCAAUAAUACAUAUUCACUCACAUAUAAUCCUAAUUGGAGGAAUCACCCUAAUUUUUCUUGGAAACAAAAUCAAUCUUUGUCAAACCAAGGAGGACAACAAUUUAACAUGCCCAAUCAACAAUUUGUCCCUCCUAACCAAGUAUAUCCUCCUGCCCAACAACCUAUAUCUCAAUUUGUUACACCCCAACAAAGAAAACCUUCUUUAGAGGAUACACUUCAAAGUUUCAUUCAGUCAACCUAAUAAGCUUUUCAGUCAAACACUCAAGCUAUUCUAAAGCUUGAACAUCAAUUGGGUCAAUUAGCAACUACUGUAGCGGAGAAAGAAAAAAGAAAAUUCCCCAGUCAAUCAAUUCCUAAUCCUAAAGGAGUGCAUGAAGUUGGAUCGAGUUCAAGCCAUCAGCAUGAAGAAGCAAAAUCAAUUAUGACCUUGAGAAGAGGAAAAUUGUUUGACAACAAAGUGGAGGUUCAAACAAAGAAGACAUCUGAGCCUACUUCUUCAGAUCCAAUUACAUCACAAGAAUCAUCACCAAAUGAUCUUGAAGAGAGUGACCCGCUAGCUUACAUUCCCAAGGCUCAUUUUCCUCAAAGGUUAACAAAGGUAAAGAAAGGGACUUCAACAUGUGAGAUUAUAGAAAUCUUCAAGCAGGUAAGUAUAAACAUCCAUUUACUCGAUGCUAUUAAGCAAGUUCCUUCCUAUGCCAAGUUUUUGAAAGAUUUAUGCACUAAAAAGAGAAAUUUGCAUGUCACUAAAAAGGCGUUUUUAACUGAACAAACUAGCAAUUUACUUCAAUGUAAAAUGCCACCAAAAUUUAAGGAUCCUGGUUCUCCUACUAUUUCAUGUGUUAUAGGGAACCAAUGUUUUGAUAAAGCAUUAUUGGAUUUAGGUGCUAGUGUUAAUCUCUUACCUUAUUCCAUUUACAUGCAGCUUGGACUAGGUGAGUUAAAAUCAACUCCUAUUAUUUUGCAACUUGCUGAUAGGUCAAUGAAAAUACCUCGUGGUAUUAUAGAGGAUGUGUUGAUACAGAUUGACAAAUUUUAUUAUCCUGUUGAUUUUAUUGUUAUUGAUACUCAACAUGUACAUGAUCUUAAGAAACACACUCCACUUAUUCUUGGUCGUCCUUUCUUAGCUACAGCUGAUGCUCAUAUUAGUUGCAGGACUUGAAACAUGCAAUUGUCUUUUGGUAACAUGACCAUGGAAUUAAAUAUUUUUAAUGUUCCCAAGCAGGCACAAGAAGAUGAUGAAGUCGUUGAAGUAGAUAUGAUAGAAGCAUCAAUUGAUGACUCACUUAUUUCUAACCAUUGUGACAAUCCAUUAAUACCUUGCACAACUGACUCUGAUUUCUCUAUUGAUGUUGAUAGUGAUAUUGAAGAAGUUAAUGCUUUACUUGAUUCGACUCUUAUCAUAGAUCUAAUUAAGUGGAAAGAAAAGAUAAGAUUGAGCCACUUCCUCCUGAAGAGAAAAGUGCAACAUAGGUCACAUUCUGACAUAAAAAAGGUGGUAAGAUCUAAAACGCUUAAAUUAUUAGAUUUUUAUACUACUUUAGAUAACUCUCAGGAAAGCUUAGAACAGAAGAGAUCAAAGCAAUGCGAUAUUGAGGAGUUUCAUUACCAUCAUCCUUUUAUGGAUAAAAUGCUCCAGUGCUUAAUCAAUUAUGCUUUUUGGUAUUUUCUAUAUAAUUGCUUUAAUUUUCACCAAAUUCUUAUUGAUCCUGGUUGAUUUGUUGUUUACAUUAAUUAGUUAGUUAGUCGGAUUUUUUUAUUAUUAUUUAUAUUUCUUCUAACGUUUUCUUUUGAGUUGUCAUUCUUUUAAGUUUUCCUAGCUCAGUCAGGUGUGUUCUCUCCAACUUUCUCUUUUAUUAUUUAUGUUUUUAUUUUUCAUCUUUUUGCGUGCAUAUCUUUUAUUUAUGACACAUUGAGGACAAUGUUCCGAAUAAGUUUGGGGGUGGGAAUAAUGUUGCUUUGUUUGUUAAAAAAAACUAAAAAAAAAUUUCAAAAAUUCAAAAAAAAAUUGUGUUUUUUUUGUUUUUACGUGAAAAGCCAAUGAUAAAAACUUGAUUGACAAUGAAUAUGGUUUUUAGAAAGGGUUUAAUAUUGUCUUAAUUUAUACUUGAUUCUUAUGUUAGUUCCUCUUGAUUGAGAUUCUUUAAAAUAUAAGCACUAAUAUCAAUUCUUUCAUAAUUUUGACUUGAAAUUUGAGAUUGACGCAGCCUGAGUUGAGAAUUUUAGAUAGAGUAAAUGACUGUUUGUCUUUAUUCUUAUCUCCACAAUACAAAAUAGUAUACACAGGCACCAAAGUCAGAAAUAACUACCUAUAAUCCUUAAGAGUGAAGCUAUCCUUGAGUAAUUUAGGCCUAUGUACCACAAGUAUGUAGAGGAUAAUCUACCAUGAGAAGAAUGCUACCUUAAGGGGUAGAGUGAAAGCUCCUGACUAUGGUUAAAAAAAAAAGAAGAAGAAAAAGAGAAAGAAAAAAUCAAAUCAAGUGCAUGUGCUGAAAAAAAAAUCAAAAGAAAAUGCACAUAAAAGCCUGUGAAAAAAAAAUUGGAGAUUAAGAUGAUAAGAUUAGCUUGACCUACUCUUUUCUUUUUUUGAGGCGAAGGUUGUUGAUAUUGAAGAUUUUAGGAAUGAAUUUGAUUGAAUUGAUUUCACACACACACAACAAGAAUCGAAAGAGAGAUGGGAUUGAUUAUUGAAUUAAAGUUAGAACUUUGCCAAUAUUUGAAAUUUUGUUUGAGCUAUAUAAUUUAUGCAAUCUUUGAGGGUAUUUUCAUAUUUUAUUUAAAGUUUUUUUUUCUUUUUAUUUUAUUUUAUUUAUUUUUUAUUUUUUUAAAAUGAUGUUUGUGGGUGUCAUCACUGAAGCUCUCACGAGACUAUAACUCGUCCACUAGGGGUUUAAAGGCUUGUUGCAUACGCUAAAUGCAAUCGCGAUUACCUGCGAAAAUGGUUUAGUUAGGAUUUACUUUUUGUUUUGUUAUUUUUUUUUUUUUUUUUAGUUUUAGCUUUGCUCGAGGACUAGCAAAAUCUAAGUUUGGGGGUAUUUGAUGAGCAUAAUUUAUAUACAUAUUUUACCUUUAAUUAUAUAAUUAUUAGUUAUCUUUAUUAGUUAUUUUUAAUUAAUUGAAUUAUUUUAUUGCAUAGGGAAUUAAUUGGAGAUUGGGAAACAAAAAGUGCAUAAAGAAUAACAAGUUUGGGAAAGCAUCAAUCAAAGCCAUGACACAAUUAAGAGUUUAUAGCAUAUGAAGGCAAGAGUAAUUUGCACUAAAAAAGAAUUUCAAUUAUUCAAGUGAUCUGGACGUGCAUAGUAUUGUAAUGCAUGGAAAGCAACUUAAAGGGGCCCACACUUGGCUUUUACAAUUGGAAAAAGGAAUCCUAGUGCAAGCUUAAUUGGUGAGCACGUGAGUGAGAGCAAAGAAAAUUAAAAGGCCAAGCCUUUUGGCUUAAGGAAAUAACAAGGUCGGUGGGGCCCAUUUUAAAGAGUAAUAUAAAAGCAAGCUUUUGGCUUUUGGAGAGAGAAGCCGCCAGAGGAGGAAAACGCGAGACAAAGAGAAGAAAAUAUGCCGCAGUUCGACUUCUAUGGUUGGUUUUAUCUCUUUUGUUACUCUUAAUUCAAGUAUGUCUAGCUAAUUUUCUUAUAUUGAAGUUAAGGAUGAAAUCAUAUUCAAUGAAAUAAUUAUCUUUUUAUUUAUUUAAUUCCCAUAUAUGUUCUUUAAUGAUUAUGAUUUUUAUUUCACAUGAUUAAUUGGAUGUUAUUAAAAUCUUUUCAUCAAUUCUGUCAUAUAUUAUUGAUUGUUAUGAUUAAUAUUAAAUUAAAUCUAUACUUGGAUUUAUAAAGUUUAUACAUGAUUAUCUUUGAUUCUAUGUCUUUCAUUAAAUUGUUUACAUGGAGUGCCUAGGAAAACUUUGACUCUUUGUUAUUCAAUAUGUUCACAUGGGAUACUUAGAUGUCGUACUAUUAAGCGGAAAAAGAACCUAUAUUAGAUUUAAUUAUUUGGGCUUAAUUGUUAUAUCCAUGAGAUGACAUAGAUUGAUUUCGAGUUGUCACUCUAAAAUUGGGGAUUAAUGAAUAUUUAGAUAAUUACUAGUUGAAUAGUGGUGGAUUCUGAAACCUUGGUAAUUUCUAUCUUAUUGAAUUCUCCUUUACUUUAAUUGUUUUCUUAGUUUAAUUAGUUUAAUUUCUCUUAAAACUCAAUUCGCUCAACUAGGUUAGAAUUAAUAUUAAUUUUAGAUUUAAAUUAGACUUUUCAAUUUAUAACAAUCCCUGUGGGAUCGACCUCGUUACCACUACUCUAUUUCUAGAUUCGUGCGCUUGCGAGUAUAUUAAAAUUUUCACAACAUUCGGCACUCUCACUCCUUAAGAGAGGUCAGGGGUUCAAGCCUCGCUCUCGUAUGGAGUCACCACUUUGACCAGCACUUUACCCCUUACAGACCGACCCGGUGCGAGCAUGAAUUAGUCUGGGUUGUGGUACGGGCUUAAAGGUGCCUCCCACAAUUGAGACCCACUCAGGACCACCUCGUGGUUCGGACAAAAAAAAAAUUGAAAUAAAUUAUCUCAAAAUAAUUACUAACCAGAAAAAACAAAGGGGUUUAACUAGGUUAUGCAUACCUUUGAAAAUUAUAUGUUGAUCGAUAAGCAUGAUGAUCACGAUUGAGGAGUUUAAUUAAAAUUUAUAAGAUUUUAAAAUUAAUCAGGGUUAAAUUCUAAAUUUUAGAAAGAGAGGUUUUGUGAGAAUGCUGAAAGGGUGUUAAUAGUUCCACUCUUUUUUAAAAAAACCAUAGUCAUCAUUUUUCCCGAUUUCUUCUUCCCAUCUCCAUCUUAUUUAGAAAUUUCCCAGAGCCUUUGUUUCCCACCAUUCAUUUUUCUUCUUUCUAAUUUAAGAUUAUAGUAUUAUAAAAAUAAUUACUCACAUUUUAUCAAACACCUCCAUUAUACCAAGGCCUUGUUUUAGUAGUAGGCUUUUAUUAUCUCAAUAAAAUUGAAAAAACAAAGCUCAAUAAUAUUGGAAAAAAAACCUACCCAUAUUUGUAACUUUAAUUUAUUAUUCUCCAUAGACCUACUUUUUAGCUUUGAAUUUUGUUGGAGCCAUAUAUAAACAGAAUAUGUUGAAAUCAGCACAAAAAAAAAACUAAUUAUAUAAUUUUUGUUCCCAAGGACACGACUGUGUGAUUUUUAAGAAGUUUUGUUUGGCUGGCCACUUAGGUUUAAAUCUUGGUGGAGAUUAGGGGUUAAGAAAUAAAUUUGGACUUUGCACACCCCUUUAACUUUUAAAAAGAAUGAAAAAAACUAAUUAAUUAAUCUUUAUUUUAUUUAUUAAAUGUCAUAAUCAUAUGCAUAUUUUAUUUGUUAUCUUUCUAUUUAAAAGAUAGGAGGGCAAAUAAAACUGAAAUAAAUGUUUAUCCCUAUCUCCAUCUUUCAAGUUCCAUAGUUAGGUGACCAGCUAAAGAAAAUUAAUUGAAAGUUACUCCAUCAAAUUAAAAAAAAUUAUUUAUUUAAUUUGUGGAGAUGUAGAAAAUCAAACCCCAUACCUUUUCGCAUGCAAAAGUGUCAACCUGGUCUAGCUAUGUUGCAACAGUAAACAUAUUUUAAUACAUGACUAUCAUCUUUUAUCCUAAAUACUACUAUAACUAUGGGUUCAGUUAUGCUGUAACUGUGGUAUGGUACCACAGUUGUUUUCAACCAUUAAAUUCAACUUAUAUAACUAUGCAACUGUAGAUCUAACGGCUGAAAGCAACUAUGGUACCAUACCACAGUUGCAACAUAGUUUUGCCCCUAUAACUCAUAACAUUCAAUUGAAAUAAUAAAUGUUAACACUUGGCUAUAAAUAAAGGUUUUGUACUUGAAUCUUCAUGCAUGACCUUCAUUCCUUUAUUGACUUUGCUAACACAGAUUUUGAGGCAUUAAAACUAAAUAAUAAUUGACUUUGUGGGCCGAGGAUGCCAGCAACAAGGAGACCACAAUUAUCACUAGUUAAGUUACUCUAAUUGCCGUUGUCUUAUAUUCAUAAAAUAUUAGUAAUAAGAUUAUUGUAGAAUUUUUUUAUAUUAAAAUUAAGUCAAUUUGUUAUAACAAAUUUAGUUGAGUUUAAUCGUGUUACUACAUACAUUGAAUAAUAAUAGAAUUCUCGACAAAUAUUUCAAUAUUUUUAUCCCAAGCGUUGGAGUGGCAUUUAUUUGUUAGACAAUCGAUUUUAGAACUUAUAAAAUUAUUCGUUACUGAAUUGCACCAUAUGCUGCAUGACCUGAAACUUAAUAAACGGAACGUAGCGUUGGCAACAUUCACUGUCAUGACUUUGUGACAUUAGAAUUAAAUUUUUUUGCACAUUUAAUUUGUUUACUUCCAAAUUAAUAUUUAACAAAAUAUUUUUUCACAUUAUCAAUGGACAAAACUCCAACGAAAAUAACUAUACAAUAUAUGCUAGUAUUGUAUGCCAUAUCAUCUGUAAUUUUGUCAGGAUCGAUCAUUUUAAUUUUUAAGCAAAACUUUUUAUCAAUGGACAAACACCUCACACAGCUUGUCAGAGGCAUUAUUAUGAUGGAAAACUGAUAAACAGUGAACUCGAAACUCAAUUACUACAAGUCGUUUAGAGGAUUCAGUCUUGGAUGACUUGUCACUUGUGGAAUUCUUGAAGCCAGAACCGACAUAAUCUCAGUCGUCAUUCUGUCUUAAGUAAUACACAUGGUUUGCAUGUGUGUUGAAGCUGACUCUUUGCUUGGAUCAAGAAACGACGUCUUUGAGUGCCGUUUCUUAAACACACUUUAAAUCAGCUUGUGUCAAGCACGUGAGGUAGAGCUUUUUGAAUAGAUUUGGCGGGAAUGGUAGUUAGUGUAACAACCCAGAAAUAGAGGUUAAAAGGUGAAGGCUUUGUCAUCAUCUACACAUGAUUUGGGAAACAUUGAGAGUAGAGAAAAAGAUAGAGAGAGAAAGGGGUUAACAAGUUCUUGUUCUCUGUAAAUCGAUUUAUAUUCUUGUAAAGUUUGUGAUCUCAAUUAGUGAAAGACUGUUGCUUUGUUUCCAGUGGAUGUAGGCACCACUUCUUGGUGCUGAACCACUUAUACUUGGUGUCAUAUUGUUUCUUUAAUGCUUUGAUUCUUGCGUGUGAUUGUUGCUGGAUAAUCUGUGCUGUUAAUUCUCAAACCAUUGAUACAGAAUUAAUGUCUUGGGGAGAAUUUGGUUAGUCUUAUCAAAGCCGAAUUCACAACAAAUUGGUAUCAGAGCCCUCUUUUCUGUAUCAAGGUUCAAGAAAUGACUAACAAGGUGGAUCUUGAGAAGUUCAAUGGUCAGAAUGAUUUCAAUAUGUGGAGGAUCAAGAUGGAAGCAUUGUUAAUCACACAAGGUCUGGGAGAUGCCAUUGAUCCAGUCAUUAAGAGUGAAAAUGCAGAAGCCUAUUCUUCAAGAACUCCAGAACAGAUGGCUAAGAUUGAAAAAAAGGCAAGAAGCACCAUCAUCCUCAGUCUUGGUGACUUAGUGAUAAGGGAAGUUGCCAAGAAAAAGACUGUUGCUAGGCUCUGGGCAAAACUGGAACAAUUGUAUAUGACAAAGUCCUUAGCAAACAGGCUAUACAUCAAGAAAAAGAUGUUCUCACUGAGGAUGAUUGAAGGAGCAUCACUUGAUGAACACAUAGAUGAGUUUAAUAAAGUUUGUGAUGAACUGGAAACAAUUGAUGAAGGACUGAGUGAUGAGAGCAAGGCUUUGCUGUUAAUCAGUUCUUCACCAAAAUCAUAUGAACAUUUUGUGGAUGCCUUGUUAUAUGGAAGGCAAUCACUCUCCUUGGAAGAGGUUAAAUCUACUCUUGGUACCAAGAAGUUAAAAGAAAAACAAGAUAACUCAGAGAGUGAAUCAAGUGAAGGGCUGAUGGCAAGGGGCAGAUCUGAAAAAAAGGAGUACAAAGGAAAAAAACAAGGGAGAUCAAAGUCAAAGCAGAAACAUUUGAAGUGUUUUCACUGCCACAAAGAAGGGCAUUUCAAGAGGGAUUGCCCUGAGAGAAAAACAAAGCAAAAGGAAUCAAAAGACAAAUCUGGAAAUACAGCAAUAGCCACAGAAGAAACCAGUUUUGAGAUAGCUGAAGUCCUCAUUGCCACAAAAGAAAAAAACUCAAGGUCAGUGGGUACUAGACUCUGGAUGUACUUUUCAUAUGAGUCCAAAUAGAAAUUACUUUACUACAUAUCAGUCCUGUGAUGGGGGUAUGGUGCUGAUGGGAAAUAAUUCAGUUUGUAAAGCAGUUGGGAUUGGGACUGUAAGCCUUAAGAUGUAUGAUGGCAUGGUUAGAGAACUAACUCAGUUUAGGCAUGUUCCUGAGCUUAAAAGGAACCUAAUAUCUAUUGGCAUGCUUGAUCAAACUGGAUGUGUCAAUAAGGCUGAAAAUGGGUCAUUGAAAGUUAUCAGAGGCUCAAUAGUCAUAAUGAAAAGUUCCAAGCAAAAUGGUUUGUAUGUGUUGAAUGGACAUACAACUGUUGGAGAGGCAAGUGUCACUGAGAAGAGUGAAGACAAAGCAAGACUAUGGCACUUGAGGUUGGGGCAUAUGAGUGAAAGGGGAUUGAAGGAGCUUCAAAAGAAUGGGGUGUUUGGAAGUGACAAGCUAAGUUCUUUGGGGUUCUGUGAAGACUGUAUCCUAGGGAAGGCUUCCAAUCUCAAGUUUGAAUCUGCAGUUCAUUCUACCAAAGAGAAGCUUGCAUAUAUACACUCUGAUAUGUGGGGGCCUGCACAGGUAAAUUCUCUUGGUGGCUUUAAGUAUUUCUUAUCCUUAAUAGAUGACUAUUCAAGGAUGGUUUGGGUGUAUGUACUCAAAACCAAAGAUGAAGCUUUGGAAAAGUUUUAGAGGUGGAAAAUUCUGGUAGAAACACAGACAAGUUUGAAAGUAAAAGCUCUAAGAACAGAUAAUGAAUUGGAAUUCUGCAACAAAGAGUUUGGAGACUUUUGUAAAAGACAUGAGAUUAUGAGGCACAAAACAGUCAUACACACACCUCAGCAAAAUGGUUUUGCUGAGAGAAUGAACAGAACCUUAAUGGACAAGGUGAGGUGUAUACUGCUAUACUCAAAGCUGCCUAAGUCACUCUGGGCAGAGGCCUUAAACACAGCAUGUUACUUGGUAAAUAUAAGUCCAUCUACAGCAAUAGAAUGCAAAACACCUAUCGAGCUAUGGUCUGGAAGGGUUGCAGAUUACUUUAAACUGAGAAUCUUUGGAUGUGUUGCUUAUGCAUAUGUCAAACAAGGCAAAUUGGAGCCAAGAGCUUUAAGGUGUAGAUUUCUAGGAUACCCUGAUGGAGUUAAAGGCUAUAGGCUAUGGUGCAUUGAUUUGAAGCCACCAAAAUGCAUUAUCAGCAGGGAUGUAACUUUCAAUGAGUCAGAAAUCUUGAACAAAUCCAAAACCACUUAAUCCAAAGAUCAUAUAUCAGAAACAAGACCUGGGAGUGUUCAGUUUGAGGUGGAGUCCUAUGAACAAGAUAGGACUGAAUCAGAAACUGAAGGAGAUUCAGGAAGGGUUACUGAUGGAUUUGAUGUUGUUCAGGAGUCAGAGCCAGCUGAGAAUGAAGAUAAUUCUUAUCAGUUGGUCAGGGAUAGAAAGAAGAGAGCUGUAAGACCACCUAAGAGGUAUACAAUAGCAGAUUUCAUAGCUUAUACAUUAACAGUUGCACAAGAGGUAAAUGAGGAAGAGCUAAGAACCUAUAAAGAAGCUAUAAACAGCAUGGAUAAGAUGAAAUGGAAGGAGGCUAUGGAUGAGGAAAUUGAAUCACUAAUGAAAAAUGGAACUUGGAAGCUGAUAGUUAGACUAGAAAAAAGGAAGACUGUUAGCUGCAAAUGGAUCUUCAAAGUUAAGGAAGGUAUAUCUGAUGCUGAACCUAGUAGGUUUAAAGCUAGGCUGGUAGCAAGAGGCUUCACACAAAGAGAGGGGAUUGAUUUCCAUGAAAUCUUCUCUCUAGUUGUGAAACAUGCCUCCAUCAGAGUCAUCUUAGCUUUAGUUGCCAUUCAAGACAUGUACCUGGAGCAUAUGGAUGUUAAAACAGCCUUCCUGCAUGGUGAAUUACAAGAAGAAAUUGUAAUGGAACAGCCUGGGGGGUAUGUGGUGUCUAGUAAGGAAAAUCAUGUGUGCUUACUAAAGAAAUAUUUAUAUGGAUUAAAGCAGUCUCCUAGGCAAUGGUACUUGAAGUUUGAUAGUUUUAUGACAAAACAUGCCUACAAGAAAUGCAAUUAUGAUUGUUGCGUGUACUUUAGGGACAUUGGUGAUGGAAAGAUGAUUUAUCUUAUGCUGUAUAUGGAUGACAUGCUUAUAGCAUGUCACAGCAUAGAUGAAAUCAGUCAUUUAAAGAAUCUCUUGAGCAGUGAAUUCGAUAUGAAAGAUCUUGGAGCUGUAAGGAAGAUCUUAGGUAUGGAAAUUAUCAGAGACAGGAGAAGGAAGCUUAUGUUUUUAACCCAACAGAGCUAUGUUAAGAAGGUGUUGCUUAGAUUUGGGAUGCAUGAAUCCAAGUCUGUUCAAACACCUUUGGCAAAUCACUUCAAGCUGUCUGCUGCACAUUGUCCACAAACUGAUGCAGAGCAAGGAAAAAUGGCAAGGAUACCUUACUCCAGUGCAGUUGGGAGCCUCAUGUAUGCCAUGGUUCUCACUAGACAUGAUAUCUCACAUGCUGUGAGUAUAGUGAGUAGAUUCAUGGCAAAUCCAGGUUAUGAGCAUUGGAGGGCAGUCCAGUGGAUAAUGAGGUACCUGAAAGGCACUAUGGAGUUUGGUCUGCUAUAUGGAGGGUUAAAACAGGAAGGGCACAAGCUGGUGGGGUAUGUUGACUCAGACUUCGCUGGAGAUCUUGAUAAAAGGAGGUCUCAGACAUGUUUUAUAUUCACUUUGGGAGGCUGCACUGUGAACUGGAAAGCUACUCUGCAAAGUGUGGUAGCUUUGUCCACAACUGAAGCCGAAUAUACAGCAGCUGCAGAAGCUUUUAAGGAAGUCAUCUGGUUAAAAGGAAUGGUCUCAGAGUUAGGAGCAAAACAAGAAACAGUUGAAGUAUACUGUGAUAGCCAGAGUGCAAUACAUUUGAGUAAAAACCAGACCCAUCAUGAAGGAACAAAACAUAUUGAUGUAAAGCUUCAUUUUGUAAGACUUGAAGUUUCAAAGGGAACUGUGAAGAUGCUCGAGGUUCACACUGAUCAAAAUCCAACCGAUAUGUUGACUAAAGCUGUGCCUUCUGCCAAGCUCAACUUCUGUUUGAGCUUAGCAGGAAUUUGCAGUUUCUGAUCAGCUGCAAAAGAAAGGGAAUAAAGUAUACAGGAGUAGCUAGAGUUCAGAGUUCACACUGAUUAAAAGGUGCAGGCUUUGUCAUCGUCUACACAUGAUUUGGGAAACACAGAGAGUAGAGAAAAAGAUAGAGAGAGAAAGGGGUUAACAAGUUCUUGUUCUCUGUAAAUCGAUUUCUAUUCUUGUAAAGUUUGUGAUCUCAAUUAGUGAAAGAUUGUUGCUUUGUUUCCAGUGGAUGUAGGCACCACUUCUUGGUGCUGAACCACUUAUGCUUGGUGUCAUAUUGUUUCUUUAAUGCUUUGAUUCUUGCGUGUGAUUGUUGCUGGAUAAUCUGUGCUGUUAAUUCUCAAACCAUUGAUACAGAAUUAAUGUCUUGGGGAGAAUUUGGUUAGUCUUAUCAAAGCCGAAUUCACAACAAAAACUGUAAUGGUAUAUCUUGAAUUAUUGGUAGAAUAGUUCUUUGGAGCAAUAAAAACAGAUAAGACAGAUGAGAAAAUUGUCAAUACCCCACCGCAAAAGCAAAAGAAAACAAGGAAAGGAGACAAAAGAGGAAGAAGAAAAAGAAAAAAGAACGAAGAAAAAAAUGGUGCCGUGCGGUAUAGGCAAGAAGAAAAAAUAAUAAAAAAUAAUAAAAUAAUAGUGCACAACAAUCAUUUGAUUGCUAUAAAUAAAAGGCGUUUCCCUCAUUUUAUUCAUCGAAUUCUUCAGUUCCUUUCAAGCGAUUUAAGAGUCUAGUGAUUUGAGAGUUUGGGUGUAGUAUGAUUUUGGGUAGUGAGCUAAAAUACUACAAUACUUGUAACUCAUUUUUAUUAGUAAAAUAUUUUCCUUCUGACUUCGCCCGUGGACGUAUGCUAAAAGCCGAAUCACGUAAUUUCUGGUGUCCCUAUGUGAUUAUGUGUCUCAUUAUUUCUUAAUUUCACUUUAGUUGCGUGUCUGCGACACCCCUCAAUUUAUUAACAAAAAAUGGCCAAAAUUAUAUAAGUGACCCAAAUUUUUUUGUUAUUUCCAAGAAAUCCCCAAUCUGAAUGGGCUAGACCAGAGGGAGGCAAGUUAGAAAUACAUUUCCUUCAUAGACAAUAACAGUGAUGAGUCGAUGACAUCAAGCCACGUCGGUAUCAAUAUUGAAUUAAAGGUGCAAUUAUUCAGCCAAUGAACCUUACACAUCAAGAUAAAAGUCAAGAAAAUGAAAAUUUAUCCCAAUUAAAACACUUUCUGGCUGCAUUUAGUUGUUUCCAUUAGAAGUUAAAAACAACGUUUCUUUCGUUUUGUGGGCAACUCAACUGAGUUAGCUGGCUUCUAGUGCUAGUAUGUGAAAAUAGAAGGCUAAUGAUUUAUUUAUUAUCUUUUGACAAAAUUAUUAAAGAUAUAAUAGAUUUUCUAUGAUACAAGUGAAAAAUCACAUCAACAUAGCUUUCAAUCUACAGCAGCUAGCGUUUACCAAACACUUUGUUGUAGCUUUUAAGCUAUAGCUGCCCAACCUCAAUCUCAAACGCACCCUUAAUAGGUUGAUUGAAUUUGUGAGAUAUGGAUUCCACAUAUCUCAUGACCUAGUAAUUAUACAAGUGGUUCGUGAUCAAGACACAACAUUUGCUUCCGGCCUAGUGACCCAGCAAUCGCUGCACUGGUCGCCACCUAUGGUGCCGACGAUAUUGCAUGGUCCAAUUGUGGCCUUGAAUGGAAAAAGUUGAGCAAAUUAUUUGUGGACACGAUGAUAAGUAACGCAAGCCUUGAUGCUAGUUAUGGUCAAAGAAAACAAGAGGUUAAGAAUACUAUCAGAGAUAUUCAUAACAACAAAAAGGAAAAAAAAAAGGCAUUUGCAAGCCCAUUGAUAUUGGUGAAUUGUCGAUUUCAACUUUGGCAUGUGUAAUCCAGAACCUGCGCGCUGUGGUAUGGCGCUGGCACGCUUGCAUUAACGAGGGGACAAGUCUUGGGGCUGAGCUAACAUUUAAGCUCGCAGAACUCAUGGUGCUAAUGGGAACACCAAAUAUUUUUUUGACAUAUUUUGGUGCUUUCAUGGUUUAAUUCAAGGUAUAGAAAGGAGUGUUGAGAAUGUCAAAUAAAACGGCAUUGAAUGGAAGUUGUCAAAGACACGAUCCGCACCGAACGGCAACGACACGGUUGCUAAAAAUCCUUCCAUAAUAUGCAUAUCUAAUUUUUUAAAAAGUGUAACCUCUGCAUUUAUAAAUAUACUCAAUGUAUAAUGUUUUACUUAAGAAAUGAAAAACUUGUUUGUUCAAGGAGAAUAAAGAAAAUUUUUCUAUGAUUUUUUUAUGGUUUGAACAAAGAAGGUUUUAAUGAGUAUUAUAGACCUCGAUUGAAUGUUCGAAUGUAUAAUAAAAGAGAAACUGUCACAUAAAUGACAAAGAUACUUGGAAAAAAAAAAAGGGCAGCAAUAGAGAAUUAGAUUCGACUGCACAAAUAACUAGUUAAUUCAUCAAUACAUCAUUUUCUUGCUAGAAAAUGACAAUUAUGACAGCAAGCCACGAUAGUGUCAAUAUUGAAAUUGAUUUGCAAUUAUUCAGCCAAUGUGCCUUACACGUCAAGAUAAAAGUCAAGAAAAUGAAAGUUAAUAUCAAUUAAAACACUUCCUGGGCCGCAUUUAGCUCCAGUUUUUGUGGUAGGAAAACAAAGUUUUGUUUUAAAUUCACAUGGUGUGCACUUCCUAUAUAAAUCUAGAGUUGUGUCCCACGUUGAACAAUAAAGGAAAGUCACCUAAAUAUACAUGUAGGAUAAGUUACUUUAUUUAGUAAGUUUGUAUUUUCUUCUUUCUUCUAGUUUACAUAUAAAUUUGAUUAGAUAACUUAACACAUAUUUUAAUACUUGAUCAGAAGCCCUACGUACAGGUGGAUCUAGAAACUUGAUUUCUAAGAGUAAUACUAUAAUAAAAAAAUAAUGAUUCAUAGAACCAAUAUCAAAAUUUGUUUACAAGAUUACCCCCACUCAAAGGUAAUUUUCAUAGAAAUUAAUAGGAAAUUUAAUUGUUAGUGGGGUCAAAUUGCCCCCACACUCUGAAUGUAGAUCCACGCCCGACCCUGAGUCAAGUAUAUUUUGCCACAUAUACUCUGAAUGUCGGCAGGAAAAAUCUUCCACUUUAGUUUAAAAUUUUCACUUAAAAUUUAUUUACGUUAAUAAAGUUGGUAAAGGAAAUGAGUUUAAUUAAAGAAUAUUAUAGGAGAAAUUCUAUUGUUUGGCUUUUAAUAAAUUAAUUAAUAGGUUUAAAAAGAUUAAUAUACAUCAAAAUAUUAUUAGUUGGUGGUGGUUCCACAUCGGACUAAGACGUGGCACCUUACUUGUGAGAUUAAGACAAUCAGGCUUAGACUAUUUAAAUAUGUUUGAAGCUUAGAUGGCACCGCUUCAAUUUGCAUUAAUGAAUGUCAUUCUUUACCCUAAUUACUACGUAAUUGAUAACAUGCAAUUGAAAUAACUAAUAUUAGCACUUGGCUAUAAAUGAACUAAAGGCCGUGCAAUUGAAUCUUUACUUGAUCACUUCAUUCCUUUAUUUUGCUAACACAGAUUUUGAGAUAUUAAAACGAAAUAAUAAUUGAAUCUGGCUUUGUGGGUCGAUGAUGCCAGCAACAACGAGACCACAAUUAUCACUUGUUUAUUUGCUGUAUUUGACGUUGUUUCAUAUUGGUAGUAAUAACUAAUAAGGUCGUUGUAGAGUUUUUAAUCUUUUUUUUUAUAUUAAUCACGAGGUAUCCUGGGGAGGGCCCCAACUGUGGGAGGCACCUUUAAGCUCGUACCACAACCCAGACUAGAAGUCCCCGCUCGAACCGGGAGGCACAGUUUUUAAUCUUUUUUAUAUUAAAGUUAAGUCAAUUUGUUAUAAAUAAAUAAAAAAUUGGUUGAGUUUAAUUAUAUUGCUAUGUACAUUAAAUAAUUAUAAUAUUCUCGAGGGAAAAAGACACCUAGAACCUCAAGGUUUGGGGAAAUGGUCACAAAAACUCCUAAGUUUUAAAAAAGGAACACUAAAAUCUUUUUUUACCCAUAAUACCCUUUGACUAUAGUAAUUAGAAAAUUGACUUUAAAGGUUUUUAAAUAAUACAAAUUUAAUAUAAAUCAUAUAAUCUAUCUAGUACACUAAUAAUAUUAAAUUAUUUUUUAUAUUUAAAAUAAUGUUAAAAAAUUUAAAUUAUUAUAUUUAUUUUAAUAAUAUAUUUAUAAAAUUAUAAAGAUUUUAAAUAAAUCUUUGGAUUGAAUAUAUUUUACAAUUAAAAGUCUUCCUAUUAAUAAUAUUAAAAUUAAAUUUUAAGUAAUAUAUAUUCAAAAUAUUUUUAAUUUAAUUUUAUUUAUUUUAAUAUUAUGUUUCUAUCUAUUAUUAAAAAUUACUUUAAUAUAAUAAAAUAGGUCUAAUAGAUUGAAAAAUAUGAAAAUAUUUUUAAAAUUUUAAAUUAUUUUGAAAUGUAUAUAUUAUUACAUUUAUUUCAAUGUCAUAUUUCCAUUUAUUAUAAAAUUUUGGGGUUAUUUUUUUGGGAAUUUAUAGAGUCAAAGAGCAUUAUGGUUAAAAAAGAGUCUUGGUGUCCCUUAUUGAAAACUUUAGAGUUUUUGUGACCAUUUUCCUAAAUCUUGGGGGUGUUGAAGUGGCACUUAUUGUAAGAUUGAUUUUAAAAUAUGUAAAAUUAAUUUUAUUACAUUACCAUAUGCUACAUCACCUGAAACUUAAUAAAUGGAACGUAGCAUUACUCCACGUUCACCGUUAUGACCUUAUGACAUUAGAAUUAAAAUCUUUCGUACGUUUAAAUUGUUUACUUCCAAAUUAAUCUUUCGUAAAUAUUUUGUACAGAUCUUAUCGGAGUUAGCGUGUUCAUUACAGUGUUUCUUUUCUUUUAUCCUUUCUUUUGAAACGUAUUUCCUGUGGACAAGGAAAGCAAAUAAUACCCUGCCACCAGGACCUCGCGGCUUGCCUGUAAUCGGAUACCUUCCAUUUCUCGGAAUUACUGACUUACACAAGACAUUCACGGAAUUAGCUGGUCUAUAUGGCCCGAUCUUCAAACUCUGGCUUGGCAACAAAUUGUGUGUAGUGGUUAGCUCGCCUUCAACUAGUUCUAUAAGAAUAUCCCUUUUAAGGGAUUCUCUCUCUGCAAAAUUUUUUUAUCUUCUGGUGCAUAAUAAAAACUUAUGCCACUUCAUUAACCACAGAUAUCUUUUGAGGAAACGAUGUUUCGUUUUCUUUUGUUUUUUCCUUCCUAAUCCUCGCAUAUCGUGUGAAGGCUAAUAUAUCCAAGAAUCUAAAUCUCUGUAAAUCUUUUUCUAUCCAAAUCUACAUAAUAAUUUAAUCCAUGCACAAUAUCUAUAAUUAUAUCGGCUGUCGGCUGAUUUCGUGGAGGGGGCGGCAGUUCAAAUUUUUUACGUGCAUGUUGGAUGGACGUCUCUAUUAAAGGAGAGCCACCACUUGCAUGGUAAUUUUUUUAAAUAAAUAUAUACAUUUCAAAAUAUUAUUUCAUUGUUGUAUAGUUAACAUGUCACCUUAGAUGUAUUUUAGAACUUCUCCUAUUAAAGAUAAUCUCAUGCAGUGAUACUUCUCGUGAUCUAAUCAUUAGUAGAAUCUAUAAUUUCGCUACUGUAAUAAAAUCUGUCCCUACCCUAUAUGAAUGUAGAUAUUUGACGCGAUUUGUAAUUGCUUCCGACAGGAAAACAGCAAUAGUUUAAUUGAAAUUUGUGGUAUGGAUUCCACGAAUCUUAUGACAGAAUACUGACCACUCCAACCCUAUCCACAUUUACACGAUUAAAACACAAGCUUAGAUGUGACAAUGCAUUUGUCACUUUUGUUCAAAUUCAUCCUGAAACACUAUACACUAAAUAAUCGAAUAUGGCUUCGUGGGUCGAUGAUGCUAGCAGCAACGAGACUGCAAUUAUCACUUGUUUUGUUGCUGUACUUGUCGUGGUCUAUUUCGCAUGGAAUGUAAACAAAUCAAGUAAAGCAAAUGCUAAAUUGCCACCAGGAUCUCGGGGCUUGCCAGUAGUCGGAUACCUCCCAUUUCUUGGAACUACUGACUUACACAAGACAUUCACGGAGUUAGCUGGAGUUUAUGGUCCGAUCUUCAAGAUUUGGCUUGGGAAUAAAUUGUGUGUAGUGGUGAGCUCGCCUACCCUAGUUAAACAAGUGGUCCGUGAUCAAGAUAUAACAUUCUCAAACCGCGACCCACCGAUCGCUGGAACUGUGACCACCUACGGUGGCAAUGAUAUUGCACUUUCCAAUUAUGGUCCCGAAUGGAAAAAGUUGCGAAAAUUAUUUGUGAGCAAGAUGAUGAGUAAUGCAACCCUUGAUGCUUGUUAUGCUCUAAGAAAACAAGAGGUUAAAAAUACUAUCAGGGAUUUGUACAACAACAAUAAGGAUAAUAUUGGCAGUGGCAAUGGCAAGCCCAUUGACGUUGGUGAAUUGUCGAUUUCAACUUUGGUACGUGUUAUGCAGAACAUGCUGUGGGGUCAAGCAUUGGAAACAAGAGAGAAAGAGAUUACUAAUCUCGGGGCUAAUCUUGCAGAACUCAUGGUGCUACUGGGAACACCAAAUAUUUCGGAUAUUUUUCCAGUGCUUUCAUUGCUUGACAUGCAAGGUAUAGAGAGAAGAGCUAAGAAGAUUUCUCUAUGGUUUGAAAACAUUAUCAAUUCUGGUGUUGAACAGUAUAGAAACAAGUUUUCUGUUGUUAAAGGUGAAGAAGCUGCAGCAGGAAAAAAUAUUGAACGAUCAAGAAAUAAGGACUUCUUGCAGUUACUGUUGGAGCUUCAGGAAAAUGAAGAUAGUGCUUCAUCUAUUAGCAUGAACCAACUAAAGGCCGUGCUCGUGGUAUGUUAAGCAACUAGACACAAAAAGUUGUAAAAGCACAGUGAUAUAUUUGCGCGAGGCCGCGAGUGAUGUUUUGCCUCGAGAACUCUCAAUUUUAUCUUACGGUAAAAAAUGUUUUUCAACUUUUUUUAAUUAGAAUUUUAUUGCAAUUUAUUUAACAGGACAUAAUUGUGGCCGGAACCGACACCACAACUACGAUGGUGGAAUGGACAAUGGCAGAGUUGAUGCAACAUCCACAAGUAAUGAAGAAAGUUCAAGAAGAAUUAGCUCAAGUUGUGGGCAUGGACAGUUGUGUUGAAGAAUAUCACUUGCCUAAAUUAAAUUAUUUAGAUGCUGUGGUGAAAGAAACAUUUCGUUUGCAUCCUGCGUUGCCCUUAUUGGUACCUCGCACGGCAAGCGAGAACAGCAAUAUUGGUGGCUAUACCAUUCCCAACGACACUAAUUUUAUGUUGAAUGUUUGGGCUAUUCACAGGGAUCCUCAACUUUGGGAUAAUCCCUUAGAUUUUCGACCUGAGAGGUUCUUGAAUGAUGAUAUCAUAAGCAAAUUCAAUUACUCGGGUAACAAUUUUCAGUACUUGCCAUUUGGUUCUGGUAGAAGGAUGUGCGCUGGCAUUCCUCUAGCUGAGAGGAUGUUGAUGCUUGUUCUGGCUUCGUUGUUGCACUUGUUUGAGUGGAAAUUGCCCCCGGGCACAAAGCUAGACUUAGCUGAAAAGUAUGGGAUUGUCAUGCGGAAAAAAGAGCCUCUGAUUGCUAUUCCAACACCAAGGCUACCAAAUUCAGAUCUCUACCAGUAAGAUCAAAAUGGUUGUGAUGAUAUUAUUUCCCAUUGUAUUGGAAUAUUUUUGUGUGAUUUGAAGUUCAAUCAUAAUAAAAUAUUUUAAUAAAAUGUCCUCGGUUGCUAAUUUUUCAAUAGUAUACUCUAUCAUCGUUUCUAACUGUCUUUUAGAGCCAUUUGGUCUAAUUUAUUUUUGAAUUAAAAUCCAUAAAUAUUUAAAUUUUUGAAUCAUAUUAAGAAUUAUCUGGAGUGUAUGGUCUGAUCUUCAAGUUCUGGCUUGUAAACAAAUUAGAGUUCUGAUAUUUGCCCCGGGUCAAACCCCGAAAUUAAAUAAAACGGCGUCGUUUUGUUUUUUUUUUUUUUUUUUUCUUUUUUACUUCUUCCAAACGUUGCCAUUUCACUUGUCAUUUGCAAGUGACUCCAUUGAUCCUUAGUUGAAACAGAGUUACACCGUAAAUCUCUUCCUCUUCGUUUCUUCGUUUCACCAGGGAACGAGACAGAUAAAAUCCAGCCAUUCUUCGACAUAACAAGAUAUCGAUUAGAAUCCAACGACAUAACUAUAAACCAUGACAUUGCGCUUGAUUUUGCGAAAUACCGAUUAAGAACCAGUAACUUUGAAUCCAAUGACCGUUAAGAGUUUGAAAUUGGUUUCAAAUGACUAAUGAGUUAUCAGAUUUCUUUGCGUCUACAUUUUCCUUGAAGGUUUCUCAGCAGCCAAACAAAUACAAAGCAAAUUGCAGAAGAAACACAUUUUGUUCCAAUGAAAAAUGUACGGAAACAUUUUAAAUAUGGAAAAUUACCUCAAAAUGAAGGCUCGCAAGAGAUUCGAGCAACAAAUUAGAUCAAAGGAACCGGCGCUGAGCAAGAAAGUGAGCUCAAAGAUUCCGAAACACAAACGUAAAUUCACAAAAAUGCAAAUCUAUGAUGAACGCCAAGAUCAAAAUUUUCGAAGAAAGGGAGCUGAAAAAAUAAAUGAAACGUCAAACUAGAUGACAAUGGAUUUGCUUCUUCAAAGGAGACAAUGAAAUUGUUACUAGAGACAGCUAGAGAAAUAGAGAGAGAGAGAGAGAGAGCUUGAAUUGGCUGUACCCCCACCAGAAAGUGGGUAGUGCCUUUUCCACUUGGACUUGAUAUGCGAAUCUGAAAAAAUCUGAACGAAGGACUGACUCAUCCCAGCUCGAAAGCAAACCAAGCUAGGACUGACUGAAAACGUUGCCGUUUGGAGAAGUUAAAAAAAAAAACUAAACAAAACGACGCCGUUUUGUUUAGUUUCGGGGUUUGACCCGGAAUUUGACCCGGGGCAAACAUCAUUUUCCAACAAAUUAUGCAUGGUCGUGUACACGCUUUCCCUAAUUAAGCAUGAGGUUCGUGAUCAAGGCACAACAUUCACUCCCUGCGACCCAACAAUCGCUACAUUGUUUGCCACCUAUAGUGCCAACGAUUUUGCACGGUCCAAUUAUGGUCCCCAAUCGAAAACGUUGCGCAAAUGUUUUCUGGGCAAGAUGAUAAGUAACGCAAGCCUUGAUGCUUGUUAUGGUCUAAGAAAACAAGAGGUUAAUAUAUAUAUAUAUAUAUAUAUAUAUAUAUAUAUAUAUAUAUAUAAAUUGGCAUUGUCAACUUUUGUAUGUUUUAUUCAGAACCCGCUGUGGGUUGACGCUAGCAUGCUUGCGUUAGGAGACGAGGGGACCAAUCUUGGGGCUGAGCUAAAAUAUAAGCUUGUAGAGAUCAUCUUGCUAAUGGUAAUGUUUUCCGAUGCUGGUUUAAUUCAUGGUAUAAAAAGGAGAACAAAAAAGAUUUUUCUAUGCUUUGAAAAUAUUAUAAUUUUUAUUUUAUAAUUUUUAAUAAAAUCUCUCAUUGAUAGCCAAACAAUUAAAAUUUUUGUAAAGCUUUUGUGGACUUUUGAUCGCGUAUGGUGCCAAUGUAUUGCGUGGUCCUAUUAUGGUUCCAAAUGGAGAAAGUUGCACAAGUUUUUUGAGUACCAGAAGAUCAGUAAUGUAAGCCUUGAUGGUUGUUAUGGUCUAAGAAAACAAGAGGCUAAAAAUUCUAUCUGGGAUUUUUAUAACAACAACAAAAUUGGCAAGCCCAUUGACAUUGGUGAAUUGUCAGUUUCAACCUUGGUAAGUGCGAUUCAGAACAUGCUGUGGGGUGAAACGCUUGAAAUAACAAAGAAAUGGAUUUACUAAUAUUGGGGCUGGGCUAAGAUUUAAGCUUGCAGAACUCACGGUGCUAGAGGGAACACCGAAUAUUUUGGAUAUCUUUCCAGUGCUUUCAUGGUUUAAUAUACAAGGUUUUCAGAGAAUAGCAAAGAAGAUUUCUCUAUGGUUUUAAAAUAUUAUCAAUUCUACUGCUGAACGCUAUAGAAACAACGUCUCUAUUGUCAAAAGUGAAGAAGCAGCAGCAGCAGGGAACAAUAUUGAAGGAAGGAAUAAGGACUUGGUGCAGUUACGCUUGGAGCUUCAAGGUAAAGAAGACAAUGCUUCAUCAAUUAGCAGGACGCAAUUUAAGAGCUUGCUCGUGGUAUGUUGCGCAACUAGCCACAGACAGUUACAGAAACUGAGUUUGGCAGAUUACGACCGUUUCUGGUGAUUACAUAAUUAUUUGUGGCUGUUUUUUUUUUUUAAUUGUAAUUUUCUUAACAGGAUAUAAUUUAGGGUGGAACCAACACCACAACUAUAAUGGUGGAAUGGACAAUGGCAUAAUUGAUACAGCAUCCACAAGUAAUAGAGAAUGUACAGGUAGAACUAAAUCGGGCCGUGGCCAUCGACAGCCAUGUUGAAGAAUUUCACCUAGCUAAGUUAAAAUAUUUAGAUGCUGUGGUGAAAGAAACAUUCUGCACUGUAAUAUAAUACAUGAAUCAUAUGUCCUCUAUUGUUUUUUUAUUUUUCUCUUUUUUUCAAUAGCUUAAUCUAUCAUUAAAAUCUUCUGAAAUUCUAAAUUAAUAUACAUUCAACCUAGAGUUCAAGCCAAAGUUUUAUUGAGCAUUAAAAAAAAAAAAAAUUCUACGACUCAAAAUUUUGUGGAGUAUAAAUUAAAAAUUAUGCGCCUACUAAGAGACAAAAAAUAAAUGAUACACAUUAACCAAUCAAAGGCGAACAAGAGAUUAUUAACAAUAACCUAAUAAUAAAAUUAUAAUGAAUAAAAAAGAAAUGGUACCUAGAAACACAUCACAGCCAUUUAAGCAAUCACUUACCCACAAAAUCCAAACAUAUAAACUAUGUGGGGGGGGGGGGGGGGGGGGGGGGUGUCAUGAUACCUUUGGGUUUCAUGAUAAUCAAAAUUGCAAUACCAUUAAAGACUCAAAAAUAAAAAAAAUCAUAGCCAAUAAAAGAGAAAAAAUAACCCACAAAAAAUCAUCAAGAAAAUAAAUUUGAGACUAAGAGAAGAUAUUAAUUAAACCCUGGGUUGCCUUGGAACCACGGCUUUGGCUUCCAUUUUUCAAUUCUUGGCGACAAGUCAUUUCUUGUUUGUUUACAAAGAUGACGGCUGAUUAAUGAAGCUCUAUUAACAAUGAAUAAAUAAAAAAACUGGCGCCUUGAAAAGACUAACGGUCAUAUUUUUCAACUCCGAAUUAGUGCCGUUUGAUGAGUCCUUGCCAAAACAAUCACUAGGCAAAUAACAAUCAUUUUUCAACCAGCAAAACUCAUUCAUUGUAUUUCACCUUAGUCAAGAUUUAAAAAUUGUUUCAAAAUAAACCUAGUGGUUAGAACCCAAGCGUCACAAUUGUGAGGUCAUGGGUUUGAGCCCCCACAACGUAUUGUGGGGGUUAAUUUUCUUCUUCAAUUUGAGUGAAAACAGUUCUCUCCCUUUCGAAAUGUGGGUGGAGUGGACGUCCCUCAAAUAUUAGAGAGGGUUCAAAUUUGGAUUGUACUAUAUAAGAUUUAUAAAUUAGUCCCAGUAAUUAUCUGAUUGUAAAUAUCAAUAUACUAAUCUAAUUAAAUAUGAGUUGUAAUAUGAGCGUUAGUCUCAUGUAAUUAAAAAAAAAAUGUUUCAAAAUAGGAUUCUUAAAAGGUUGGGGAAAUGGCCAUCAAUAUCCCCAACUUUCCAAAAAGAGACACCAAGACCCAUUUUGACCAUAAUACCCUUUACUUCUAUUAUCCCCAAAAAAUUGACUCUAAUGUUUUAUAAUAAAUAAAAAUAUAACAUUAAAAUAAAUGUAAUAGUAUAUACAUUUUAAAAUAGUUUCAAUAUCUAAAAACCAUUUUAAUAUUUUAAAUCCUAUUAUAUAUAUAUUAAAGUAAAUUUUAUAAUAAAUAGAAUCAUAAUAUUGAAAUAAAUGCAUUAAAAUUUAAAUUAUUUUUAAUAUUAUGUAAAAUAAUAAUUUUAUCAUUAUAAGUAUAUGAGAAUUUUUUUAAUUGUAGAAUGUAUUUAAUGCAAAUAUUUAUUUAAAAUCUCUACAAUAAAUAAAAAUAUACUAUUAAAACAAAUCUCUACAAUAUAUACAUACAUACAUAUACAUUGGCCUGGUAUUUUAUUUUUCAUUUUUUAAACUUAUUAAAUCCUCUAACUAUCAUUUGAUUAUUUUUUUCAAUGAUGAAGAGGCCAUUGCCGGAUAAAUUAUUAAAAUCAACUAGUUCUACAAGAAUGUCCCUUUUUAAAGGAAGAUGAUUCUCUCUCUCGAAAUUUUUUAUCUUGUGCUACAAACUAAAAACUUAUGCCAUUUCAUUAACCACAGAGAUCUUUGAGGAAAUGAUGCUUCGCCCCCCCCCCCCCCCCCCCCCCCCCCCCCCCCCCCCCGCGGCGCCAAAAAGUGUCCUUCCAUAUUUUGUGAAGGCUAAUACAUCGAUGAAUCUAGAUUUCUUUAAAUUUUUUGUUUUACUCAAUUCGAGAUAAUAAAUAGUUUAUCUUUAUUAAAUCUUUACUUUAACAAUGAUAGAUAUUCAAUCCAUGCAAAUAUCUAUCAUUGUAUGAGCUGAUUGCGUGGAGGGAGCGGUAAUUGAAAUCUAAUUGAAAACAGCAGAAGGCUGUUCUUGACAGAUCUCAAAUAUAUUACGGACACGUUGGGAGACAUCUCUAUCAUAGAUAUCCCCAUGCAGUGAUAUUUGUCGUGAUCUAAUUUUUAGUAAAUCUGUAAGAGAGAUUGUAACAUCUUUCAAGUUUUUUGGUUUGAUAUUCUAGACGAAAACGGUUUGUCGUUUCUUGAGCAAACGGCUAACCGUUUAAGUCCAGAGAGCAUGUUUGUUGUUCUGGAUAAAACGGCUCACCGUUGUUGCGAAAACGGCUAACCGUUUAACUCAAGAGAGCAUGUUUUAUGUUCUAGAGAAAACGGCUCACCGUUAUUGAGAAAACGGCUAACCGUUUAUUUACAGAGAGCAACGUAUUUGAUAUUCUGGAAUAAAAUGGCUCACCAUUUAUUGAGAAAACGGCUAACUGUUUAUUUCCAGAAAGGCGUCAAUUAGAAAAACGGUUAGCAAGAAUGAAAAUUUCAAUUGACAAUCGAUGCAAAUUCAAACCAAAAGAGUGUCUUCGAAAAAGUACCAUUUCUAAUGGUUGUAUUCUUUCAAAUAAACAUCUUCUUCAUUAAAGAAAUACACACAAUUAGAUUGAUAAUCAGAUUUUGACAGGUUUCUUAUAUGUUCUGGAAAUACAAUCUUAUUUGCUAGAGAUUGUAUUCAGGAUUUGUUAUAUCUUGGGGGUAAUUUGCCAUUAAAACUAUAUAGCAAACCAAGAUUGGUGAGGGCAAAUAAAACCUUAAAGGAAAGUAUGCAAACACGUCUCAAAUCCUAUGAAACUUUCUUUGUUCUUUGCCUCCAUAUUCUUAUUAUUCACUAACAAAAUCCCCAUGCAGUGAUAUUUGUCGUGAUCUAAUUAUUAGAAAAAUCUAUGAUUUCGCUACUGUAAUAAAAUUUGUCACUACUCUACAUUAAUCUAAAUGUCUGAUGAGAUUUGUAAUUGCUUCCGACGGGAAAACAGUUAAUAGGUUGAUUGAAUGUAUGUGGUAAAGAUUCCACGUAUCUCACGACAGAAUGCUGACCACUGGAACCCUAUCUACUUUUACGCGAUUAAUUCACGAGCUUAGGCACGACAAUUGCAAUACAAAUUAUCCCUUCAUCAUAUAUUUCGUUAAAAUUCAUUCUGAAGCACUAAAACUAAACAAUCGAAUAUGGCUUUGAGGGUCGAUGAUGCCAGCAGCAAUGAGAGUGCAAUUAUCACUUGUUUAGUUUCUGUGCUUGCCGUGGCUUAUUUAGCAUGGAAUGUGAAAAAAUCAAGGAAAGCAAAUGCUAAACUGCCACCAGGACCUCGCGGCUUGCCUGUAGUCGGAUACCUCCCAUUUCUCGGGACUACUGACUUGCACAAGAAAUUCACGGAAUUUAUUUUACUAUUAUAUUUAUAUUCAAAAUAAUUUUAAUUAGCUUUUAAAAUGAAUGAUUUUAGGAAAUUAUAAAUAAAGGUAACUAAGAAUUCUCUUAAUGUAAUAUAUUAUUAAUUAGUUUAAAAAUACAAAUUUAUUAAUUAGAGAAAUUAUUAGUGAAUUUAAAUUAAUGAUCUUAAUGAUUUGUUUGUACGAUUGCCCCCAAUCAAAGGUAAUUUUCCUAAAAAUUAUUAGGAAAUUAGAGAAAUUUAAUUUUUUUAGUGGGUUCAAUUGCCCACACACCCCGACUGAAGCAUUUUUUACAAUAUGUACUCCGUUUGUCGGCAGGAAAAUAAAGGUCUUGACACAUGAUCACUUCACUCCUUUAUUUACUUUGCUAACGCAGAUUUUGAGGUAUUAAAACAAAUAAUAAUUGAAUAUGACUUUGUGGGUCGACGACGCCAGCAACGAGGAGACCGCCAAUUAUCACAUUUUAAGUUUGCUGUAAUUGCCGUUGUUUUAUAUUAGUAGAAUAUUAGUGAUAAGAUAAUUGUAGAGUUUUCAUUUUUUUAAUAUUAAAAUCAAGUCAAUUUAUUAUAAUAAAUUUAGUUGAAUUUAAUCGUAUUACCACAUAAAUUGAAUAAUAAUAGAAUUCUCGACAAUAUUUCAAUAUUUUAAUCUCAAGCAUUGGAGUGGCAUUUAUUUGUUAUACGGUCGAUUUUAGAAUUUAUAAAAUUAUUCGUUGCUGAAUUGCACCAUAUGCUGCAUAACCUGAAACUUAAUAAACGGAACGUAGCGUUGGCACCGUUACUCAACAUUCACUGUUACGACUUUGUGACAUUAGAAUUAAAAUCUUUUCCACAUUUAAUUUGUUUACUUCCAACUUAAUAUUUAACAAAAUGUAUGUUAGCAUUGUAUGCCAUAUCAUCUGUAAUUUUGUCAGGAUCGAUCAUUCUAAUUUUUAAGCAGAACUUUUUGUCAAUGGACAAACACCUCAUACAGCUUGUCAGAGGCAUUAGUAUGAUGUAAAAUUGUAAUGGUAUAUCUUGAAUUAUUUUAGAAUAGUGAAUAACUAUUUGGAGCAAUAAAAACAAAUAAGACAGAUGAGAAAAUGGCUAAAAUUAUAUAAGUGACCCAAAAUUUUUUGCUAUUUCCAAGAAAUCCCCAAUCUGAAUGGACCAGAGGGAGGCAAGUUAGAAAUACAUUUCCUUCAUAGACAAUAACAACGAUGAGUGGAUGACAUCAAACCACGUUGGUAUCAAUAUUGAAAUAAAGGUGCAAUUAUUCAGCCAAUGAGCCUUAGUACACAUCAAGAUAUAUAAAAGUCAAGAAAAUGAAAAUUUAUCCCAAUUAAAACUCUUUCUGGCUGCAUUUAGCUGUUUCUGUUUAGGGAUGGCAAUUUAAUCCGGACCCAGCCCGACCCGGAUGAAUCCAGAAAAUUCGGGGUGGAUUCAACCCGUACCGGAGUGAAUAAAAUCUGAUAUUCAAAUUCAAUAUUUUCAACCCGGACGUUUCCGAGUCCGGAUCCGGAUUUGGGUAAACCCGCAUAUCCGGAACCCGGAUCCGGAUAACUAUUUUAAUAUUAAUUUUUAAAUCAUUUUAAAAUAAAAAAAAAUUAGAAAAAAUCAGCCCUAAUGCCCUUCCACAGCCACGGCAGCCAAACCAAACCCAGACAUUUCCUCUCUCUCUCUUUAGCCCUUCUUUUCAACAAAUCAUCAUCGUUGCUCAUCAUCGUUUCGUCGUGUUCAUCUUCAUCUUCAUCAUCAGCUGCCGUUUGUCCAGCUAUGUCACUAGUUUUGGCCGCCGUUUCCGUUUGUGCACCUUCGCAAAUCGGGAUCUCGAUUUGGCCGCCAACACUUCUACCCCCUGGUGUUUUGCUUUGUCCUCGACAACUUCUUUGUUGAUAAAUUGACGGGCACUUAUGAAUGCAUUUGUCUCUGUUUCUUCAUUUACACCUUCCCAGUUGUUUGUUCAUUUGCUUUUUGGAAGGAAAAAAAAAAAAAAUCAGCCACCAUUUAUCCUUCCCCUUUUCUUGACCUAACCCCACAAAGCCCAAUUUGUCAUCAUCAUUCAUUGGCAAAUUUGUUAUCAUCAUGGUUGAGACAUCAUGAUUAUCUUUGAUAAUUGAAUUUGUGUAAUAUGUUACCUUGGAUUUUAUUUCUAAGUAUUUGAUUUUGAAUUAUUUUCCAUUAUUGGUGUUAAUAGAUAGAAGAUUAGAAAGGAAUUCUUCACUGAAUAAAGAGAUGGGAAAUUGCAUCUUUUAGCAAUCAUCCGGGUUAUAAACCCGGAAUCCGGAAACCAGGAUUUUUCCGGGUUUAACCCAGUCCGGACCCGAAUGAAAAAUAUCCGGGUUUACAUCCGGGUCUGGUAUUAAAAUUUAUCGUCCGGAUCCGGAACAGGGAAGACAAAACCCGGACCCGAACCCACAUUUUGCCAUCCCUAUUUCCAUUUGAAGUUAACAACAACGUUUCUUUCGUUUUGUGGGCGACUUGACUGAGCCAGCUGGAUUCUAGUGCUAGUAUGUGAAAAUAGAAGGCUAAUGAUUUCACGUUCACUAGCCCACCUCCCCUCCUCUCGUUUCCUCUGAAUCAAUUUUCACGUGUGGUACCGAUUGAAAAUAUCUCUGACAUUUCGUGGACAUCUCUAUUGAAAAUAUCUCAGACAUUUCACUCAGGCAAACUUAUUAAUAUAAAAAAUCUAUGAUUUUUUCGUCUUAUACUGUAGAAAAAUUUGUCUAUACAUUAAUCUAGAUGUUUGAGGUGGUUUAUACAUCUGUGGUAUAGAUUUAUAGGUUGAUUGAUACGUCUGUGGUAUAGAUUUUAUGUAUUUCAUUAUCAAAUGCUGGCCUUUGGGACCCUAUCUACAUCUAUUUAUAAAACUAACGGGUGCCAGUUAUGCCAUUACAAAUUAUCCCCUCUUCAUACAUUUCCUUAAAAUUCUUCUGAAACACCAAAACUAAAUAAUCGAAUAUGGCUUUGCGGGUCGAUGAUGCCAGCAACAAUGAGGCUGCAAUUAUCACUUGUUUAGUUUCUAUGCUUGCCGUGGUUUAUUUCGUAUGGAAUGUGAACAAAUCAAGGAAAGCAAAUGCUAAACUGCCACCAGGACCUCGCGGUUUGCCUGUAGUCGGAUACCUCCCAUUUCUCGGAACUACUGACUUGCACAAGAAAUUCACGGAAUUAUCCGGAGUUUAUGGUCCGAUCUUCAAGCUCUGGCUCGGAAAUAAAUUAAGUGUCGUGGUGAGCUCACCUUCCCUAGUUAAACAAGUGGUUCGUGAUCAAGAUACAACAUUCGCAGACCGUGACCCGCCGAUCUCAGGACUAGUGACCUCCUUUGGUGGCAAUGAUAUUACAUGGUCCAAUUACGGUCCCGAAUGGAGAAAGUUGCGCAAAUUUUUUGUGGGCAAGAUGAUGAGUAACGCAAGCCUUGAUGCUUGUUAUGCUUUAAGAAAACAUGAGGUUAAAAAUACUAUCAGGGAUUUGUAUAACAACGGCAACAAAAUUGGUAAGCCCAUUGACAUUGGUGAAUUGUCGAUUUCAACAUUGGUAUGUGCUAUGCAGAACAUGCUGUGGGGUGAAGCGCUUGAAUUAAAAGAGAAAGGGACAACUAAUCUUGGGGUUGAGCUAAAAUUUAAGUUUGCAGAACUCAUGGUGCUACUGGGAACACCGAAUAUUUCGGAUAUCUUUCCAAUGCUUUCUUGGCUCGACAUACAAGGUAUAGAGAGGAGAGCAAAGAAGAUUUCACUCUGGUUUGAAAAAAUUAUAAAUUCUACUGUUGAAAAGUAUAGAAGCAAGGACUUUAAUGUUGAAGGUAAAGAAAGAGCAGGGGAAAAUUUUGAAGGAUCAAGGAACAAGAACUUCUUGCAGUUACUAUUGGAGCUUCAAGAAAAUGAAGACGGUUCUUCCUCAAUUAGCAUGAACCAAUUUAAGGCCGUACUCGUGGUAUGUUAAGAAACUAGCCGCAAACAGUUAUACAAGCACAGCUGUAUAUUUUGCAUGAGUGAUAUUUUCAACCUUUUUUUUUUAUAAUUAGAAUUUUAUUGUAACCUUUUGGACAGGAUAUAAUUACGGCUGGAACCGACACCACAACUACGAUGGUGGAAUGGACAAUGGCAGAGUUGAUGCAGCAUCCACAAAUAAUGAAGAAAGUUCAGGAAGAAUUAGCUCAAGUUGUGGGCAUGGACAGUUGUGUUGAAGAAUUUCAUUUGCCUAAAUUGAAAUAUUUAGAUGCUGUGGUGAAAGAAUCGUCUCGUCUGCAUCCUGCAGUGCCUUUAUUACUACCACGCAGAGCAAGCGAGAGUGGCAGCAUUGGUGGCUAUAACAUUCCCAAAGAUACAACUAUUAUGUUGAAUGUUUGGGCAAUCCACAGGGACCCUAAACUUUGGGAUAAUCCCUUAGAAUUUCGACCCGAGAGGUUUCUAGAUGAUGGUAUCGCGAGUAAGUUCGAUUACUCAGGUAACAAUUUUCAGUACUUGCCAUUUGGUUCUGGUAGAAGGAUGUGUGCUGGGAUUCCUCUAGCUGAGAGGAUGCUGAUGUUUGUUUUGGCUUCGUUAUUGCACUCAUUUGAGUGGGAAUUGCCAGCUGGCACAAAGCUAAACUUAUCUGAAAAAUUUGGGAUUGUCAUUAAGAAAAAAGAGCCUUUAGUUGCUAUUCCAACACCAAGACUAUCCAAUUCAGAGCUCUACCAUUAAGACAGAAUGGUUGUGAUGAUUUUGUUAAUUUCCGAAGAUUUGUAUGUUAUGUCAAGUUCAAUCGUAAUAAAAUAUUUCAAAUAAGAGUCCUCCGUUGCUUUUUUUUUUUUUUUCAACCGCAUAAUCUGUCGUCAUGCUUGUAUUUGGGGCUACUUUGGAAUAAUUAUGUUUGAAUUACAAUAUAUAAAUAUUACAUUUUAAAAUUUUAUGAGAUUCUAAAUUUAUACACGUUCAAUAACCCACUUCAUAUAUGUUUAACACAAUUUAUAUCAUACAUUGUAUACCCAUUUGUCAUAAAUUACGCUAUUUUAUAUCUCUAAAUAAUAUUACAUAUUGAUAUUAUAAAAUGUUGUUAACUCACGUGUGUAUAUAUAUAUAGCAAGUCACGUGCAUAUAUUAUUGGUUGUUAUAUGUUUGCUAGUUUGAUAGGAUUUCCUUUCCUUGUGAACUAGGGUAAUUCUUAUGUACAUAUAAAUAUUGAUCAAUAAGAGUGCAGAUGAUGACUGCAGUUUUGCAUCGUAGAAAUUCUUCGUAAAAUAUAUAUGUUUAUCAAAAGGCUAUACCAUUCAAUAUAUAUUGGAAAGAGAACAAAGAAGAUCUUCUUAUGGUUUGAAAAUAUUAUGAAUUCUGCUGUUGAACAGUAUGGAAACAAGGUCUGUUGUUAAAGGUGAAGAAGUCACAGGGAACAAUAUUGAAGGAAGAAAUUUCACGUUUAGUUGCUGAAUUUGCCGCUGUAUUCUAUCGGUAGUAAAAAGAUUAGAGUUUUUAUUUUUCUCUAUUAAUGUUAAGUCAAUUUUCUAUAACAAAUUCGGUUGAGUUUAAUUGUGUUACAAUAUAAAUUGAAUGAUAGUAGAAUUUUCAACGAAUAAUUCAAUAUUUCUAUCUCGAUUGUUGAAGUGCCAUUUAUUUGUUAUACGAUCGAUUUUAAAAUUUAUAAAAUUAUUUGUUACUAAAUUGCAUCAUAUGCUAAAUCACCUGAAACCUAAUUUCAUAACUAACCCUUUAUUUUUAGUUCUCAAGAAAUCUUGUAAGAACAAAAUUCUUUUGUAACAAAACGUUUACAACAAAUUAAUUUGUAACUCAUUCCUGUGCGAGAAUCACUCUCAAUUUCCUUCAAUUGCUGUUUAACAAUCAUCUGCUUAUCAAAAUUCAAGCAUAAUCUUUUUUUUUAAUUUCUUCAUCAUUCUUUUGAAAAAAAAAAUCAGGAUAUGCUGUUAAAUUUUGAAAUAAAUUAUCUCAAAAUAAUUACUAACCAGAAAAAACAAAGGGGUUUAACUAGGUUAUGCAUACCUUUGAAAAUUAUAUGUUGAUCGAUAAGAAUGAUGAUCACGAUUGACGAGUUUAAUUAAAAUAUAUAAGAUUUUAAAAUUAAUCAGGGUUAAAUUGUGAAUUUUAGAAAGAGAGGUUUUGUGAGAAUGUUGAAAGGGUGUUAAUAGUUCCACUCUUUUUAAAAACAACCAUAGUCAUCAUUUUUCCAUGGUUGUUUUUAAAAAGAGUAUUUCUUCUUCCCAUCUCCAUCUUAUUUAGAAAUUUCCCAGAGCCUUUGUUUCCCACCUUUCAUUUUUCUUCUUUCUAAUUUAAUAAUCCACCCUUCUUGUAUUCAAACUAAAAAAUUAAAAUCUGAAAAUUUAAAACCCAAUAUUAUAGUAUUAUAAAAAUAAUUACUCACAUUUUAUCAAACACCUCCAUUCUUCCAAGGCCUUGUUUUAGUAGUAGGCUUUUAUUAUCUCAAUAAAAUUGAAAAAAAAAAUCUCAAUAAUAUUGGAAAAAAACCCUACCCAUAUUUGUAACUUUAAUUUAUUAUUCUCCAUAGACCUACUUUUUAGUUUUGAAUUUUGUUGGAGCCAUAUAUAAACAGAAUAUGUUGAAAUCAGCACCCAAAAAAAAAAAAACUAAUUAUAUAAUUUAUGUUCCCAAGGACAUGGCUGAGUGAUUUUCAAGAAGUUUUGUUUGGCUGGCCACUUAGGUUUAAAUCUUGGUGGAGAUUAAGGGUUAAGAAAUAAAUUUAGACUUUGCACACCCCUUUAACUUUUAAAAAGAAAUGAAAAAAUUAAUUAAUUAAUCUUUAUUUUAUUUAUUAAAUGUCAUAAUCCUAUGCGUAUUUUAUUUGUUAUCUUUCUAUUUAAAAGACGAGGGCAGAUAAAACUGAAAUAAAUUUUUAGCCCUAUCUCCAUAUUUCAAGUUCCAUAGUUAGGUGACCAGCUAAAAAAAAUUAAUUGAAAGCUACUCCAUCAAAUUAAAAAAAUUUAUUUAUUUAAUUUGUGGAGAUGUAGAAAAUCAAACCCCAUACCUUUUCGCAUACACUGAACAUAUUUUAAUACAUGACUAUCAUCCUUUAUCCUAAAUACUACUAUAACUAAUAACAUACAAUUGAAAUAAUUAAUGUUAACACUUGGCUAUAAAUAAAGGUUUUGUGCUUGAAUCUUCACGCAUGACCUUCAUUCCUUUAUUGACUUUGCUAACACAGAUUUUGAGGCAUUAAAACUAAAUAAUAAUUGACUUUGUGGGCCGAGGAUGCCAGCAACAAGGAGACCACAAUUAUCACUUAAGUUACUCUAAUUGCCGUUGUCUUAUAUUCAUAGAAUAUUAGUAAUAAGAUUAUUGCAGAAUUUUUUUAAUAUUAAAAUUAAGUCAAUUUGUUAUAACAAAUUUAGUUGAGUUUAAUCGUGUUACUACAUAAAUUGAAUAAUAAUAGAAUUCUCGACAAAUAUUUCAAUAUUUUUAUCCCAAGCGUUGGAGUGGCAUUUAUUUGUUAUACGAUCGAUUUUAGAACUUAUAAAAUUAUUCGUUACUGAAUUGCACCAUAUGCUGCAUGACCUGAAACUUAAUAAACGGAAUGUAGCGUUGGCACCGUUACUCAACAUACUGUUACGACUUUGUGACAUUAGAAUUAAAAUCUUUUGCACAUUUAAUUUGUUUACUUCAAAAUUAAUAUUUAACAAAAUAUUUUUUUCACAUUAUCAAUGGACAAAACUCCAACGAAAAUAACUACACAAGAAAAAUGUAUGCUAGUAUUGUGUGCCAUAUCAUCUGUAAUUUUGUCAGGAUCGAACACUCUAAUUUUUAAGCAGAACUUUUUAUCAAUGGACAAACACCUCACACAGCUUGUCAGAGGCAUUAUUAUGAUAGAAAACUGUAAUGGUAUAUCUUGAAUUAUUGGUAGAAUAGUUCUUUGGAGCAAUAAAAAUAGAUAAGACAGAUGAGAAAAUUGUCAAUACCCCACCGCAAAAGCAAAAGAAAAAAAGGAAAGGAGACAAAAGAGGAAGAAGAAAAAAAGGAAAGGAGACAAAAGAGGAAGAAGAAAAAGAAAAAAGAACGAAGAAAAAAAUGGUGCCGCGCUGUAUUGGGAAGAAGAAAAAAAUUAAUAAAAUAAUAAUAAAUAAUAAAUAAUAAAUAAUAAAAUAAUAGUGCACAACAAUCAUUUGAUUGCUAUAAAUAAAGGGGCAUUUUCCUCAUUUUAUUCAUCGAAUUCUUCAGUUCCUUUCAAGCGAUUUAAGAGUCUAGUGAUUUGAGAGUUUGGGAGUAUUGUGAUUUUGAGUACUAAGUUAAAAUACUAUAAUACUUGUAACUCAUUUUCACUAGUAAAAUAUUUUUCUUCUGUCUUCGCCCGUAGACGUAGGCUAAAAGCUGAACCACGUAAUUUCUGGUGUCCCUAUGUGAUUAUGUGUCUCAUUAUUUCUCAAUUUUACUUUAGUUACGUGUCUGCUACACCCUUCAAUUUACUAACAAAAAUGGCCAAAAUUAUAUAAGUGACCCAAAUUUUUUUGCUAUUUCCAAGAAAUCCCCAAUCGGAAUAGACCAAACUAGAGGGAGGCAAGUUAGAAAUACGUUUCCUUCAUAAACAAUAACAGCGAUGAGUCGAUGACAUCGAGCCACGUCGGUAUCAAUAUUGAAUUAAAGGUGCAAUUAUUCAGCCAAUGAGCCUUACACAUCAAGAUAAAAGUCAAGAAAAUGAAAAAUUUAUCCUAAUUAAAACACUUUCUGGCUGCAUUUAGCUGUUUCUAUUUGAAGUUAAAAACAACAUUUCUUUCGUUUUGUGGGCAACUCGACUGAGUUCGCUGGCUUCUAGUGCUAGUAUGUGAAAAUAGAAGGCUAAUGAUUUAUUUGUUAUCUUUUGACAAAAAAUGUUAAAGAUAUAAUAGAUUUUCCAUGAUACAAAUGAAAAAUUAUAUCAACAUAACUUCCAAGCUACAGCAGCUAGUGUUUACCAAACACUUUGCUGUAGCUUUUAAGCUACAGCUGCCCAACCUCAAUAGGUUGAUUGAAUUUGUGGGAUAUAGAUUCCACAUAUCUCAUGACCUAUUAAUUAUACAAGUGGUUCUUGAUCAAGAACAACAUUUGCUUCCGACCCAGUAACCCAGCAACUGCUGCACUGGUCGCCACCUAUGGUGCCGACGAUAUUGCAUGGUCCAAUUAUGGCCUUGAAUGGAAAAAGUUGAGCAAAUUAUUUGUGGGCACGAUGAUAAGUAACGCAAGCCUUGAUGCUAGUUAUGGUCGAAGAAAACAAGAGGUUAAGAAUACUAUCAGAGAUAUGCAUAACAACAAAAAGGAAAAAAAAAAAAAAAGGCAUUGGCAAGUCAAUUGAUAUUGCUGAAUUGUCGAUUUCAACUUUGGCAUGUGUAAUUCAGACAUUGCGCGUUGUGGUAUGGCGCUGGCACGCUUGCAUUGCCGAGAGGACAAAUCUUGGGGCUGGGCUAAAAUUUAGGCUUGUAGAACUCAUGGUGCUAAUGGGAACGCCAAAUUUUUUUAACAUAUUUCGGUGCUUUCAUGGUUUAAUUCAAGGUAUAGAAAGGAGUGUUGAGAAUGUCAAAUAAAACGACAUUGAAUGGAAGUUGUCAAAGACAUGAUCCGCACUGAACGGCAAUGACACGGUUGGUAAAGAUUUUUUCAUAAUAUGCGUAUCUAAUUUUUGAAAAAUUGUAACCUCUGCUUCUAUAAAUAUGCUCAAUGUAUAAUGUUUUACUUAAGAAAUGAAAAACUUAAUUCUUUAUGGUAUCAGAGCGAGGCUCGUUGCUCUGUUUGUAACAAAAACAAAGAAAACUAAAUUCUUCCCACAACUAUUUUUCCACCUUUUUUUCUUCCUUAAAAGCAUUCCUAGCAUUACAGAAACCCAUGCCAAUAAAAGAACAAGCCACACAUAUGUAAAAACUUUAGUUUACAAAUCUAUCAACAUCCCCAUAAAUUUUCCCAAAAAGUGAUCUUCAAAAACCAAAAAUACCAUCAAUUUUCGCAUCUUCUAGUAAACAAACUAUAAAAGUUUCGCACUCAAACAGAGCCACACGCGCCUCCACGCGCUUCCCGGAAUCACGGCCAACCACCACGCGCCUCUGUCACCACCAACUCACCCUCAUGCGCUCCAGAUGUUGCAGAAGACGCAAAACGACGUGUCGUUUUCUUCUCUAAAAGUGCAGCAACGUGGAAAUGACUUUUUGUUUUUGCCUUAAAUUGUUUUUCCUCGUUUGAAGCUAUACAACAUUUUUCUUUCUAAACCUGUUUUUUACAAUAAAAAAAGAAAAAAAUGGAGAAAACUCCAACUGAAUCUACUCAUGUUGUCAUUCAAUCUGUUCAACCUGAUGGAGUAUUUAAUGCCGAAAUUAUCCUUACUAAGACAAACUACGAUAUUUGAUCUCAAAUAAUGGAGAUGCAUCUCGCAGAAAGAAAAAAACUCCCAUAUAUUCGUAGCAGCAUAAAUCCAUCUGACAAAUUUUCAAAGAAAUAUGAGAAAUGGUAUAGUGAGAACCAAAAAGUAAAAAGAUGGUUACUCAUAACCAUGUGUCCUGAGAUCAUGAAGCGAUAGUUACAAAUUCCUACAGCCUACGAAAUUUAGAAUGCAUUAUCAAAAGCCUUUUAUAAUGGAAGCGAUGAAAUACAAGUUUUCACUCUAAAUCAGAAGGCGUUCUCUACGAAGCAAAAUGGACAACCACUCUCUAAAUUCUACGGAGAAUUGAUCAAAAUGUUUCAAGAACUUAAUCACCGAGAUAAAGUGGUCAUGAAGGAUCCAGAAGAUGUUAUAAUAUAUAGGAAGUUUGUUGGAAGAUUGAGAGUGCACAUUUUUCUUGCUGGACUAGAUGAAGAAUUUGACCAAGUUUGUGGAGAAAUUCUACGAAAAGAUACUAUCCUAGACUUAAAAGAAUGUUAUUCUCUAAUCCGAAAAGAAGAUGUACGGCAAAGCAAACUAACAAGAAGGUGGACGACUCAGAAACGUCUGCUAUGAUACCACAAGAGAACAAUGUUUUGAAAUUGUUCGAUAUCCUGACUGGUGGGAUACUCGAAGUAAUAACACAAAGCAGAGAUAAAAAACUGCAGUAGCUGAAUCCACAUCCACUACAGAUCUUAGAAAAGAAUCUUCAGCGCAAAUUGCAACCUCUGUCAAUUCAGGUAAGGUCAUUAAAACUCUUACAUUUGUUAUUAAUAGUAUAUGGAUAAUUGAUUAUGGUGCAACUGAUCAUAUGACUUUUGAUUCUUGACAAGUUUCUUAAUUGAAACCAUCUUCACAUAAACAUGUUUCUACUGUAAAUAGAACCACAACCUCAGUUAUUGGGGAAGGAUCUUUACAACUCACAAUUAAAUCAAAUUUAGACUUUGUGUUAAUUGUUCCAUCUUUAAAUUAUAAUCUUUUAUAUGUGUCUCAAAUAACCUCUUACUUAUCAUGUGUUGUAAUGUUUUGGCCCGAUCAUUGCAUGUUUAAGGACAUCCAAAUGAAGGAAACGAUUGGUUAUGAUAUUAAAUAAGGCAACUUGUAUUACCUGGAGAUGACAUCAACAAACACUGAAAAGCUAAGCCCCGCAUUAGUAGCAGACAAUUCCAUGAAAAAAAAGGAAAUAAGAAAUUUGGUUAUGGCAUAGACGAUUAGGGCAUGUGUCAUUUGAUUUCUUAAAAAAAUUGUUUCCUAGUUUGUUUCUGAAAUUUGAUAUUUGUAACUUUAAAUAUGAUGUUUGUGAACUUUCAAAUAGCCAUCGAACUACUUUUCCAUUGUCCUUAAAUAAGAAUCCAAUUCCUUUAAUGGUAGUACAUUCUGAUGUAUAGAGACCAUCUAAAGUUUCUACCAUUGGAAGAGCUCGUUGGUUUGUUACAUUUAUUGAUGAUUGUAGCAGAAUGACAUGGAUUUUUUUAUGAAAUUAAAAUCAUAUGAUGGUGACAACUCUAUUUCAGACACAAAUUUGAGUUCUACAUACUGAUAAUGGAGGCGAGUAUAUGAGCACAACAAUUCAACAGUUUUUGAAAUCACAAUGAACUCACCACCAAACCACUUGUGUGGGGACACUCCAACAAAAUGGCGUUGCUAAACAAAAAAAUAGACAUUUACUAGAAGUUGUUCAAGCAUCACUAAUUUAGGCCCGCAUGCCACUAUUUUAUUGGGGAGAAGCAUUGGCAUCCGUAGCAUACUUGAUCAAUCGGACACCUUCAAUCUUCCUUGGAUUCCAAACUUAUUUUCUAGUUCUAAAUGAAGAAUUAUGUCAUCAAAUGUGUCGAAUUUACCCCCACAUAUGUUUGGUUGUGUUGCCUUCGUUCAUUUGCCAUGACAAGAUAAAUUAUCUCCUCGAGCACUACGUUGUGUGUUUGUAGGGUAUGCCUUACAUCAAAAGGGGUACCGAUGCUAUCAUCCUCUAUUAAGAAAAAAUAUACAUCACCAUGGACAUAAUCUUUCAUGAAGAUAUCAUGUAGUACCCAUCGGAGCUUGAAUUUCAGAGGGAGUAUAAUGAAGAGGAAAUUCAUACUCUUACAUAUCUUUCACCUGAAGAAGAUCAAUCCUCCAUUGAGGUAGUAAACGUUCAAGAUACUGGAAAAGAAAACGACAAUGAUUCUCAGGCUGAGACAAGUGAAGACACAUUUAGGGAGCAAAAUAACUCAGACAUAACCACAAUCGAGAACGAGUCCAUGAAGAGCCACAUGAAGAAAUAUCUAACCAAUCAUCUGCAGAGGAUGAUCCUACCACAAAUCCCAGUCUAAUCAGAAGAAUACUUCCCCAGCAUCAAAAUAGAGGUAUCUCUAAACCCACAUAUAAGACUGACCUCUCUAGUAGAGUCAAAUACCCUAUGAGUCAUUUUGUAUCUAACCAUGGCUUAUCAAAAUCAAAUCAGUCAUUUGUGAAUCAAUUAUCUACUGUGUCUAUUCCUAACAGUGUGCAAUAAGCCUUAAAAUAUCGAAAGUGGAAAGGGCUAUGAAUGACGAAAUGAGAUCUCUUUAAAAAAAAUCAAACAUGGGAACUAAUUGAUCUUCCACCAGGAAAGAAACCAGUGGGUUGCCGAUGGAACUAGUUGAUCAUCCACCUCCAUUCUGACAAGCAAUGUUUAUCAGCAAUAACAAAUGACUGAAGCAUUUUAAUGAGGUUAGUAACGAAAAAGAGUUUAAUUAGAGAAUAUUAUAAGAGAAAUUCUAAUUUUUGAUUUUUAAUAAAUUAAAAUAUCUUAAAAUAUUAUUAGUUGGUGGUGGUUUCAUGUCAGAUUAAGACGUGACACCUUACUAAUGAGGUCGAGACAAUUAGCUUAAAUUAUUUCAAUGCAUUUGAAAUUUCCACUAAUGACUAUAAUUCUUUGUCCUAAUUACUAUGAUAAUUAAUAACAUACAAUUGAAAUAGUUAAUAUUAGCACUUGGCAAUAAAUAAUUAAAUUUCAUUAACACUAAAUAAUAAUUGAAUAUGGCUUUGUACAUCGAUGACGCCAGCAACAAGGGGACCGCGAUUAUCACUCUUUAAGUUGCUUUUAAAAUUGAUUUUAGUAGUGAUAUGAUUAUUGUAGUGUUUUUAUUUUUUAUAUUAAAAUUAAGUGAUUUGUUAUAAUAAACUUAGUUGAGUUUAAUGGUAUUACUACAUAAAUUGAAUAGUUAUCAAAUAUUUUAAUAUUUUUAUGGCAAGCGUUGACGUGGCAUUUAUUUGUUGUAUGAUGGAUUUUAAAAUUUAUAAAAUUAUUUGUUAUUAAAUUACCCCCAGAUGCUACAUCACCUGAAACUUAAUAAAGGUAUGAAGACAUGUGUGUGUGGACUGAAAUGAAGAAUAUGGAAAAGUUGAGAGCUGUUGUGCAGAUUGAGUUCAGUUGAUGGGGUCUAUUAGAUAUUGUCUGCUGACGUGGCAUGAAUUCGUUAUAAUCUGUUAUAACGAGUUCAGUAUAUCAGUAUACAAUAGAGCUGAUGGAUGGUGCCUGUUUUAGAGUCUUUUUUAUAUUCAUUUGUUCAUCAUUUUGCGCAAGAUCUGUUCCAUUGUGAUAUGUGUAAAGUCUUAUGUAAACCCACUUAUGAUUGGAUUAGUUCUUGAUUAAUAACAACGAGUAAAUUUUCCUUCAAGUGUGCUGGUCUGUGCCCCUGUUUUUUGUUCUGAUAUUGUUUCUUUGUUCUGGCAUUUCAUUUCGAUUGUGUUCUUGGUGUUUCUACUCAUCAAGAUUUAUGAGUCUUGUUGAGAUUAAAGACUUAAUAGUCUUAACAAGUGGUAUCAGAGCCUGGUGAAUCUCAGCCAUGUCUCUUUCGAAGCAUGAAAUUGAAAAAUUCACCAUUGGUGGUGAUUUCUCGCUUUCGAAAUUAAAAAUGAGGGCUCUCCUUGUGCAUUAGAGGCUUGAAUUUGCUCUGGAAAAAGAUAAUCUAGAGGCUGCUACAAGUUAUGUGACUGAUGAUAAGAAGAGACAAAUCCAAAACCGAGCUCGUAGCACUCUAGUUUUGAGUCUUGGUGACUCAAUCUUGAGAAAGAUUUCUGAAGAGAAGACAACCUUAGGGAUUUGGAACAAGGUAGAAGCUUUGUGUACAAAGAAGUCGCUAGCUCACAGACUAUUCUUGAAGAAAAAGUUAUACACAUUCUCGAUGAGAGAAGGAGUCACAAUUCAAGAUCACAUUGAUACCUUCAACAAGAUCAUUCUUGAUCUUGAAGGGGUGGAAAAUGUGACAAUAAGUGAUGAAGAUAAAGCCUUCUUCUUGUUGAGUUCCUUACCAAAGUCUUAUGAAGGCUUUGUAGAUACAAUGCUUUAUGGCAGAACAACAUUGACUCUUGAAGAUGUUAAAGCAUCUCUAAGUUCAAAAGAGAUUCAGAAGAACAAUGAGAUUGAAACAAAUAAUGGUGAUGGGCUGAUUGCCAGAUCAGAAAAGAAGAAAGAUCAGAAGAAUAAAAAUCAGGGAAAAUGACAUGGAAAGAAUUAAGAAAAUGCAGACAAGAAGAAAAAGAAGAGAAAAUGCUUCUACUGCCGGAAGGAAGGGCAUUACAUCAGGGAUUGUCUUAAAAAGAAAAAAAAAGAAAGUCAAGAGAAGUCAGGGGAUGCAGCUGUAGCCUCUGAUGAUGCCUCUGAUGGAUAUCACAUUGCUGAUUUACUUGUGGCCUCAAAUAGCAAUACUAAAGGUCAGUGGGUCAUAGACUCUGAGUGCUCUUUUCACUUGUGGCCUGAUAAAACCAUAUUUUACAAAUAUGAAGUUGUUGAUGGUGGUAGAGUCUUAAUGGGAAAUAAUAAUGUGUGUAAUCUUGUUGGUAUUGGUUCUGUGAAGAUCAAGAUGUUUGAUGGAACUGUAAGAGCUCUACAUGAGGUGAGGCAUGCUCCUAGGCUAAAGAGAAAUCUAAUCUCUUUAGGCAUGCUAGACAGCUUAGGGUAUUUCUUUAAAUCAGAAAGUGGUGGUUUAGAGAUAAGAAAGGGGACUGAGAUAGUGAUGAAGGGGGUUAAAGAAAAUGGCUUAUAUGUAUUGUAAGGCUCAUCAGUGCUUCUUCAAAAGGGAAUUUCUGCUCUUUUUGAGGAAGAUAUAACCAAGUUAUGACAUCUUAGACUUGGUCAUAUGAGUGUCAAAGGGAUGUAAGAGCUCAGCAAACAAGGGCUACUUGGUGGGGAUAGAAUCCAGCAACUGGAAUUAUGUGAAAAUUGCAUUUUUGGCAAAGCUCACAGGUCCAAGUUUCACAAGGGGGAGCAUAUGUCUAAGCAAGUUUUGGACUAUGCACAUGCUGACCUUUGGGGGCCUGCUCAAGUCCCAUCCUUGAGUGGUGGCAGGUAUUUCAUAUCACUAAUUGAUGAUUACUCAAGGAAGAUGUGGGUCUACAUACUCAAGACCAAAGAUCAAGCCUAGGAAAAAAUUCAAGGUAUAGAAAUCUUUGGUAGAAAAUCAAUUUGGAUUCAAGCUCAAAUGCUUGAGAACUGAUAAUGGUUUGGAAUUUUGUAGCAAAGAAUUUGAGGAAUAUUACAAAAAAACAUGGCAUAAAAAGGCACAAAACAGUCAGGUUCACCCCCCAGCAGAAUGGCUUGGCUGAAAGGAUGAACAUGACCUUGGUAGAUAAGACCAGAUGUAUGUUGAUAAAUUCAAAGCUUCCAAGAAGCUUUUGGGCAGAAGCUGUCAAUACAACAAGUUGUUUGGUUAACAGAAGCCCAUAUUCUGCAAUUGGCUUCAAAACACCAGAAGAAUUGUGGAAGGAAAAACCUGUAAAUUACCAAAAUCUCAGUGUUUUUGGAUGCCCUGCUUAUCUCCACAUCAAUCAAGGCAAGCUGGAAGCUAGGGCCUUGAAAGGAGUCUUUGUUGGAUAUCCUGAUGGGGUUAAGGGAUACAUAAUCUGGUGUAGAGAGUAAGGGAAGUGUAUAGUCAGCAGGGAUGUUGUGUUUCAUGAAUUUGGAUUGCUAAAAGAAAAUGCAGAGAAUGAUACUAGACUACAAAAUGAUUCAAUAAUUAUCAAACAAUCUGGAACUUCCAAGGUUAAGGUGGAGCUGUUUGGAAAUAAAGACAGUAGAAAAGAGGUAGCUGAUUAUGAAGAGAGGACCACAGCUAAAGUUGAGGAACAUGAGUCAUCAGAGUUGCCACAAGCUGACUUGCAGACUUAUCAGUUAGCAAGAGAUAGAGUUAGAAGAGAAGUCAAAGCACUAGUGAGGUAUGGCUAUGCUGACUUAAUUACUUAUGCAUUGUUGUGUGCUGAUGAUGUGGCAAUUGAAGAGCCUGCUAACUUCUCUGAAGUUAUUGAAAGUGUGCAUUGUGAUAAGUGGCUUGAGGCAAUGCAAGAUGAAAUGGGAUCCCUUCAAAGAAAUCAGACCUGGACACUUGUUCCAAAUCUAGGUAAUAAAAAGUUGAUCAGUUGUAAGUGGAUCUUCAAGAAGAAUGAAGGAAUUCCAGAUGUUGAACCUCCCAAAUAUAAAGCAAGGCUAGUGGCUAGGGGGUUUACACAGAGAAAGAGUGUAGAUUUCAAUGAAAAAUUUUCCCCUGUUCUUAAGCACAUUUCAAUAAGAAUUUUAUUAGUCAUGGUAGCCUUACUUGACUUGGAGCUUGAGCAAAUGGAUGUAAAAACAGCAUUCCUUCAUGGUAAUCUUGAAGAACAGAUAUUGAUGGCACAACCUAAAUGUUUUGAGUGCAAAGGAAAUGAGGAUUAUGUUUGUUUGCUGCAUAAGUCCUUGUAUGGACUCAAGCAAUCCCCACGACAGUGGUACAUAAGAUUUGAUGAUUUUAUGGUCUCAAAAGGCUAUCACAUAAGCAAAUAUGACAGUUGUGUUUACUUUGGUGGAUCAUAUCAAGGUGGAGUUGCUUAUUUGCUUCUGUAUGUUGAAGAUAUGUUAAUUGCAAGAAAAUAUAAGUUGGAGAUAGAGAGGUUGAAGAAAUGAAGGAUCUCGGCAAUGCCAAAAGAAUCCUUGGGAUGAACAUUACAAGGGGCAGAUCUGCUGACACUUUGUUCUUGAGUCAUGAGAAAUAUAUCAAGAAGGUUCUGGAGAGGUUUGAGAUGCAAGACUAUAAACCUGUCCAAACACCACUUGGUCCCCAAUUCAAGUUGACAGCAGCUCAAUCAUCAGAAGAUGAGUCUCAGGUGAGUGAAUUCCCAUAUGCACAGGUUGUAGGGAGCCUGAUGUAUGUAAUGGUAUGCACCAGGUCAGAUAUAGCUUAUGCAGUAAGUGUUGUCAGCAAAUUUCUCAGUUGUCUAGGCAAGGUUCACUGGAAUGUUGUAAAAUGGAUAAUGAGAUAUCUUAAGGGCUCUUUUACUUGUGGUUUGCUGUAUGGGAAGACUAAGAGUGACAUAAGUGAAGUCCUGGGGUUUGUAGACUCUGACUUUGCUGGAGAUCUUGAUAGAAUGAAGUCAACCUCAGGGUAUAUGUUUGUGUUAAACAGUUGCCUGAUUAGCUGGAAGUCAUCACUUCAGUCUGUGGUUGCUUUAUCCUCAACUGAAGCUGAGUUUGUUGCAACUACAGAGGCAGUAAAAGAGGCCAUGUGGCUAAGAGGUUUGCUUAAUGAGUUAUGGUUAAAUCAGAAAAUUGUUCAGGUUUUCUGUGAUAACCAAAGUGUCAUACACCUGGUAAAGAAUCAGAUGUAUCAUGAAAGAACCAAGCACAUUGAUGUGAAGCUCCAGUUUAUCAGAGAUGAGGUUGGAAAAGGAACUAUAAUUGUGUCCAAGAUCUAUACCAGUGUGAAUCCAACUGAUGUUAUUACAAAAGCACUUCCCACUGCAAAAUUUGAAUUCUAUGUGAAUCUAAUGGGCAUCUCGCCCAAACCUAACUAAAUUCAAUAGUGAAUUGUAGUUGAAUGAAGGUUUUUUAGGUGCUGUGUUAUUGAAAGGAUCAACUGAAUCAACUGCAAGGUGGAGAAUGUGAAGAUGUGUGUGUGGACUGAAAUGAAGAAUAUGAAAAAGUUGAGAGCUGUUGUGCAGAUUGACUUCAGUUGAUGGGGUCUAUUAGAUAUUGUCUGCUGACGUGGUAUGAAUUCGUUAUAAUCUGUUAUAACGAGUUCAAUAUAUCAGUAUAUAAUGGAGCUGAUGGAUGGUGCCUGUUUUAGAGUCUUUUUCGUAUUCAUUUGUUCAUCAUUUUGCACAAGAUUUGUUCCAUUGUGAUCUGUGUAAAGUCUUCUGUAAAUCCACUCAUGAUUGGAUUAGUUCUUGAUCAAUAACGAGUAAAUUUUCCUUCAAGUGUGCUGGUCUGUGCCCCUGUUUUUGGUUCUAAUAUUGUUUCUUUGUUUUGGCAUUUCAUUUCGAUUGUGUGCUUGGUGUUUCUACUCAUCAAGAUUUGUGAGUCUUGUUGAGAUUAAAGGCUUAAUAGUCUUAACAAAAGGGAAUGUAGCAUUGCCAUUAAUCAACAUUCACUCUUAUGACUUUAUGACAUUAGAAUUAAAAUCUUUCGUACAUUUAAUUUAUUUGCUUCCAAAUUAAUCUUUAAUAAAUAUUUUUUCACAUUAUCAUCAAUGGACAAAACUCCAACGAAAAUAACUACACGAGAACAAUUUAUGCUAGUAUUAAAUGCCACGAUAUCUAUAACUUUGUCUGGAUCGAUCAUUCUAAUUUUUUCGCAGAACUUUUUGUCAAUGGACAAACACCUCACAGAGCUUGUCAGCCGCAUUAUUACGAUGUAAAAUUGUACCGGAAUAUCUUGAAUUAUUAGUAGAAUAAUGAAGACUAUUUGGGGCAAUAAAAACAAAUAACGCAGAUAAAAAAAUGGCUAAAAUUAUGUAAGUGAGCCCCAAAGUUUUUGCUAUUUCCAGGAAAUCCCAAAUUUGAAUGGACUAGAGGGAGGCACGUAAGAAAUACAUUUUCUUCCUAGACAAUGACAGCUAUGACAUCAAGCCACGGUGGCGUCAGUAUUGAAAUUAAGGUGUAAUUAUUCAGCCAAUGAGCCUUACACAUCAAGAUAAAAGUCAAGAUAAUGAAAAUUUGGCUGUUUCCAUUUGAAGUUAAAAGCAACGUUUCUUUCGUUUUGUGGGCGACUCGACUGAGCACGCCCCAAUAGCUAUAUUUAGGGCGUCAAUUUGAUAUUUGAAUGGACAGGCAAGUAAGAAAUACAUUUCCUUCAUAGACAAUGACAACGAGGACAUCAAGCCACAUCAUUAUAGUUUGUAGCCCAUCUACAUUUAAACGAUUAAUAAACAAGCUUAGGUGUGCCACUGCUAUUAUUAAUUAUCCCCUGAUCAUUAUAGUUUCUGAAACAGUAAAACUAAACGAAAUUGAAUACAUCAACGAGACCGCAAUUAUCACUUGUUUAGUUGCGGUAUUUAACUUAAUUUUAAUAUAAUAUAUUUGUUAGUUAAACUUUUAAUAAUCAAAUAAUUUUGAUUUAAAAAUAAAAUUAUAGAAAUUAUUAAUUAUUAAUUAUUAAAAAUUCACAAUUAAGGGAACGUUCAUCAAACACACAUAGCUAUUGUUUUCUCUAUAUAUUGCAGUGUGUACGAUAUUGAGGGUUGAAGCCCCAAGCAUGCUCUAAAAUCCAGAUAAUAAUUAGAUCCGGGCCAAAUAUUCAUCAUUGUGUCAGCUGAUCAGUCGGUGGACAUCUCUAUUGAAAAUAUCUCUGACAUUUCACUCGACAAACUUAUUAAUAUAAAAAAUCUGUGGUUUUGCCGUCUGAAUAAUGUAGAAAAAUUUGUCUAUGCAUUAAUCUAGAUGUUUGAGGUGAUUUAUACAUCUGUGGUAAAGAUUUAUAGGUUGACUUAGACGUCUGUGGUAUAGAUUUUAUGUAUUUCAUUACAAAAUGCUGGCCGUUAGAACCCUUUCUACAUCUAUUUAUAAGAUUAACGGGUGCCAGCUAUGCCAUUACAAAUUAUCCCCUCAUCAGAUAUUUCGUUAAAAUUCAUUCUGAAACACUAAAACUAAAUAAUCGAAUAUGGCUUUGCGGGUCGAUGAUGCCAGCAGCAAUGAGACUGCAAUUAUCACUUGUUUAGUUUCUGUGCUGGCCGUGGUUUACUUCGCAUGGAAUGUGAAAAAAUCAAGGAAAGCAAAUGCUACACUGCCACCAGGACCUCGCGGCUUGCCUGUAUUCGGAUACCUCCCAUUUCUUGGAACUACUGACUUGCACAAGAAAUUCACGGAAUUAUCCGGAGUUUAUGGUCCGAUCUUCAAGCUUUGGCUUGGAAAUAAAUUAUGUGUAGUGGUGAGCUCACCUUCCCUAAUUAGACAAGUGGUUCGUGAUCAAGAUACAACAUUCGCGAACCGUGACCCACCGAAGGCUGCACUAGUGGUCUCCUAUGGUGGCAAUGAUAUUGCAUGGUCCAAUUACGGUCCCGAAUGGAGAAAGUUGCGCAAAUUUUUUGUGGGCAAGAUGAUGAAUAACGCAAGCCUUGAUGCUUGUUAUGCUCUAAGAAGACAAGAGGUUAAAAAUACUAUCAGGGAUUUGUAUAACAACGACAACAAAAUUGGCAAGCCCAUUGACAUUGGUGAAUUGUCGUUUUCAACAUUGGUAUGUGCUAUACAGAACAUGCUGUGGGGUGAAGCGCUUGAAUUAAAAGAGAAAGGGACCACUAAUCUUAGGGCUGGGCUAAAAUUUAAGCUGGCAGAACUCAUGGUGCUUGCGGGAACACCGAAUAUUUCGGAUGUCUUUCCAAUGCUUUCAUGGCUUGACAUACAAGGUAUAGAGAGGAGAGCAAAGAAGAUUUCACUCUGGCUUGAUAAUGUUAUAAAUUCUACUGUUGAACAGCAUAGAAACAAGGAGUUAACUGUUGAAGGUGAAGAAAGAGCGGGGAAAAAUUUUGAAGGAUCAAGGAACAAGAACUUCUUGCAGUUACUAUUGGAGCUUCAAGAAAAUGAUGACAGUGCUUCCUCAAUUAGCAUGAACCAAUUCAAGGCCGUACUCGCGGUAUGUUAAGCAACUAGCCACGAACAGUUAUACAAGCACAAUUGUAUAUUUGCAUGAGUGAUAUUUUCAACCUUUUUUUUUAAUUAGAAUUUUAUUGUCACCUUUUGGACAGGAUAUAAUUACGGCUGGAACCGACACCACAACUACGAUGGUGGAAUGGACAAUGGCAGAGUUGAUGCAGCAUCCACAAGUAAUGAAGAAAGUUCAGGAAGAAUUAGCUCAAGUUGUGGGCAUGGACAGUUGUGUUGAAGAAUUUCACCUGUCUAGAUUAAUGUAUUUAGAUGCUGUGGUGAAGGAAACAUUUCGUCUGCAUCCUGCAGUGCCUUUAUUACUACCACGUAGGGCAAGCGAGAGUGGCAACAUUGGUGGCUAUACCAUUCCCAAAGAUACAACUCUUAUGUUGAAUGUUUGGGCUAUCCACAGGGACCCUCACCUUUGGGAUAAUCCCUUAGAAUUUCGACCCGAGAGGUUUCUGAAUGUUGGUAUCGAGAGUAAGUUCGAUUACUCAGGUAACAAUUUUCAGUACUUGCCAUUUGGUUCUGGUAGAAGGAUGUGUGCUGGGAUUCCUCUAGCUGAGAGGAUGCUGAUGUUUGUUUUGGCUUCGUUAUUGCACUCAUUCGAGUGGGAAUUGCCAACUGGCACAAAGCUAAACUUAUCAGAAAAAUUUGGGAUUGUCAUUAAGAAAAAAGAGCCUUUGGUUGCUAUUCCAACACCAAGACUAUCCAAUUCAGAGCUCUACCAUUAAGACCAAAUGGUUGUGAUGAUUUUGUUAAUUUCCGAAGAUUUGUAUGUUAUUUCAAGUUCAAUCGUAGUAAAAUAUUUCAAAUAAGAGUCCUCCGUUGCUUUUUUUUUUUUUUUUCAACGGCAUAAUCUGUGGUCAUGCUUGUAUUUGGAGCCACUUUAGAAAAAUUAUGUUUGAAUUACAAUUUAUAAAUAUUACAUUUUAAAAUAUUAUGAGGCUAAAUUUAUACACGUUCAAUAACCCGCUUCAUAUAUAUUUAACACAAUUUAUAUCAUACAUUGUACACCCAUUUAUCAUAAAUUACACUAUUU